rnacentral:lncRNA from 1 species
CCCUUUCUAGUAUUGAAAUUCAGGACGGGAAAGGUGAAGUUGGAACAUACUAGUGGGUAGUCUUUGCAUUACUGUUGCCAUUGCAUUUGUUUGGUUCUGACCUCAGUAGCAGUACACUAAUGAUGUUAGUCUUUGUGUUCACUCUUUUACAGGAGCGCCAGGACCAAUUUGAAGUGCAAAGCCAUGAAGCCAAGUGCAAAGCCGUGAUGCUAGAGAUUUGUUUGUUCUGUUUGACUGUAAUAGGUUGUAGAGAUUGUAACAUUGUAAAAAAUUUAGGGUUAUUUGAUAAAUUACGUUUCUUCUGUUUUGUUUGAAAUAGUGAUUUAAAAAUGUGUGAAAUGGAAACCUGAUUAGUGGGAUCCACUUACCAAAGUAAUCUGAACAAUGUUGAAAUAUCUGAGCAAUGUUGAAAUAUCUGAUGUGUGGGACCAAUGUAUGAGAUUAUGAUAUGUGGGGCUUGUCUGACUAGUGGGCCCAGCUCCAAUAUAUAUGGCUGAAACUAGAAAAUCGAUGGAUUAAAAAGGCCACGGCCCAACAAUAAAAAAGGAUGCAAUAUUGGGUUUGGCCCAUGAACCCAACCAAAAAUUGACACAAAAAAACACAAAUAGGCUGAAUUAAUGGGCUCGGCCCAUGUAAAACACCCAAUUGGACCGGGCUGAAUCUUGUGCCACGUUAGAUUGCCACGCUGGAUGCCUACGUGGCCUGAGGAGGUUUCUAGUGACCAAAAUGCCACAAUAGACAUAUUUUGGUCGUAAACGUCUUCGACCAUUCCAGAAGAAAGGUCGCUAUAGUCAGUUUAUGACCGCCAGCUUUUGACCUUCUGUUUUUGAUCACAAAAAGGUCGCAAAUGGAAAUUUGUGACCUUUCAGUGACCAAUAGUGGUGGUCACAAGUUGACAUAUUUCUUGUAGUGAAAUCCCAGGAGAGGAGGAAAAAAUUACAGCAGACCCAAAUGCAGGCGCUGCAAGCAAGGGUACAAGCGAUAGAGGAACGAGAAGCAAAUCGCAGCAAACGUACUGCCGAAGCUACCCCGCCAUCUCAGCGGAGAAGCAGCGUGGCUUCCACCGAGCUGCUUCAGCCGGAGCAUGCCUUGACGGCUCCUGCCAGCUAUCCCGUGGAUGCUAUCACGGAGUCUCAAAAUUGCCACCUUAUGACGCAAUGGACGAAUUUGAAGGUCAAGGCGGCUGUUGGCUCUGUUUAUCCUACUGAACCCGACUCAACUUUUCACUGCCGGCCGAUUCCAGAAGGAUAUGCUAGGGUGAUGGUGGAUGAAAUAACGGAGGGAUUUGAGGACCUCCAGCUUGACCACCCUACCGGUGAAGAGGAGACUAGGCUGGGGUCUGCUCUGAAGACUCCAUGCCUAUGGCGGAAGGAGCUCAUCAACCUUCCAAACUGGACGCCUCCGCCUCCUCCGGCAAGUCAGGGCACUCCGCCUCCUCCAUCACCUCCUCCUCCGGCAAGUCAGGGCACUCCGCCUCCUCCACCGCCUCCUCCUCCGGCGAGUCAGGGCACUCCGCCUCCUCCUCCGGCGAGUGACGAUCAGGGCACUCGACCGGCUCCUUCUCCGGCGCGUGGCGGCACUCCGCCUCCUUCUCCGCCUGCGCCGACGCGCCCGAGCAGCCAGCCUCCUCCUUCUCUGCCUCGUCAGCAAGGGAGGAAGAGACCUGCCGCCGCUCCGGCGGCUCCGGCGCGUCGUAGUCCUUAUCCUCCGCCUCGUAAGCAAGUAAAGAAGACAACCGCUCCGUUUGCUCUACCGGCGUCUAGCAGUACAGCCAGAGGCGGGAGGAAAUACAGAUUCGAUCCUUCUCUGAAGACUCCAGAGAAGUUACCAUACGAGAGGACCCCGGAGGAGAACGCCAAGAUCGCACGAGAAGAAGUGAGGAACUACUUUGAAGGGGUGAAAGCAAAUAAACAUCCACCUCCGGAGGAGAAGGUAGAUCCGGUGAAAGCGAAGCGCACUCUGGCUGCCCUGACAAAACCACCCAAGUCUCCGCCGAAAGGAAACUAUGAGCGCAUUAUUGGAAAGGAAUUUGCCGAAGCGGAGCGGUCGGGAAGUAUUGUCAGUGAUCAAAGGCUGAAAGAACGACGAGCUGGGAAACAAAUUGCCUAGCUCGGCGAACAAGCGAAGUAAUCGUGCCCCCCGCUCAAGGUGCCUAGCGACAAUGUCGCUAAUGAUCCGAGGAUGGUGCCCGGUUAUAGCAAUCUUGGCGAUUACCUGCCCGACGAUGUACAUUAUGAUUUCAUGGAGGUGCAGAUACAAAGAUACGAGUACGGGAAGCCUCUCGUCAAAGAUGAAAGAUCUCUAUCAACGAUGAUGCGAAGAUUGCAUGAUUGGUACUUGAAAAUCUGCAGAGACUCUGGGGGGAGGAGUACUUUUAUGUGAAAGUUAGAAAGGAGCAUGACCUCGUUGGAAUUGAAUUGUUGCCUGUUCCAUUUGAGGAGUUCUUUCAGUUUUUCAAUCAAUUGGCGCUCGAUAAAACAACGGUCACCUGCUACUGUCUGUAAGUAGUACUACUUCUGUCAUUAAGUCUCUCUAUAUAGCUCAGCUCUUUCAUUGCAUGUAUUUAUAAUCAUCCUCACUAUAUUAUGCAGAUUGAAGAUCGCCGAAUUGAAGAUUGCCGAAUUGAAGAAAAGAAAAGUCGGUGAUAUUGGGUUCAUUAACACAUAUCUCAUAGAUGCAACUCAGGUUAAAUUUCAUGCCGCAGAUACCGAUGCCAACUUGCUACGAUCAUUGGUAAUAAAUGAAAACAAAGAUAUAAUACUCUUUCCUUACAACUUCAGGUGAGUGUUACUGUCUUGUGCGUAUUCGGUUUUCCUUAUAUAUUAGUCAAGGUUAUAGUAAUGUAAUUGAUGAGUUAUGCAUGCGUGUGCAGUUACCACUAUAUUUUCCUAGAGAUUAAGCUUGAGCAGGGACUAGUAACCGUCUUAGACUCAAGACGAAAAGAUCCCCAGGACUAUGCGGACAUGACUCAAAUGCUCGAGAAGUAAGUUAAAUCGAUCAUUAUCCACCAUAUCAGCAACUUUGUUCAUUUCCUGAUAUAUCAAGUAAUUGUUUUCUUUGUCUGGCAGGGUUUGGAAAAAAUUCUCCAAAAAAGCUCCAGGACUCCCGAAGAAGCUGCAAUUUAGACACCCGAAAGUAAGUACUAUAGUAGCAUGUUCCGCGCAUCUCCUAUUGAUUCAAGCGCUAGUUUCAUCAAUACCAUUUGGCAUUCUUGAUUAUCAGUUUGAUUGACCUGUAUUUCUUGUAAAGUGGUUUUGGCAGGAACAAGGGAAUGAUUUCUGUGGAUACUACGUUUGCGAGUCUAUCCGCCACACGACCUGUGAGUGGGGCUACACUGACGAACAAUAUGAAGUACGUAAAUAACAACAUUCACAAUUUUAUUUUACUACCAUCAUUUGUGUUGAGUUUCAUUCAUUCAUAUAUAUAUAUAUAUAUAUAUAUAUAUGUAUUGACCCCCUUCUUCAAAUUAGAUGUUUCGGAAGCGGGAUGAACUCCUAGCACCAGCAUACGUAAAUAAUAACAUCAUUCGCAUGCGAGCAAUUCAAGAGGAAUUGGCGGCAUUCUUUCUUGACCACGUGAUCGCUGAAGACGAAGAAUACUAUGUGGACCAUGAGUCCGUAUGAUUAUAUUUGUAAGAGAUAAUUAUUGUAUAUAUGUAGCCGGUAGUGUCGGAUAGAUAUACGAGAACUUGUUGUUCGACCAAUCUCUCGGAGAAGGAGAGGUGGUCGAUAUCACUUCUCUCUGUAUGCAUAUAUGUUCAUGACGAUCUUCUAUUUCCUUCGUUUGCUUACUAGCUAGCUAGCGUGUCUACUCCUCUCUAUACGUAUGUAUAGUACGUAGCGUCGACCAAGCACGGACAUAAGAGAGGACACUUCUCUCUAUUAAUUAUAGCUAGCUAACACAAUAUAUGAAACACCUAAAUUAACCCCCCAAAACCCCCACCCCCCCCCCUUUCAAAAAAACAAAAACCCCAGCCACAGAAAUGCUGACGCGUGGAUGCCUAUUGGUCCCGGUUGGUGUCACCAACCGGGACCAAAGGGUCUCCUGCCUGGGCUCCGCGCACAGGCCACGUGGAGGCCCAUCUGUCCGGGUUCUGGAGUGAACCGGGACUAAAGGGACAGGGCAUUAGUACCGACCCUUUAGUCCCGGUUCAGGAACCGGGACAAAAGGCCCUUACGAACCGGGACAACAUGCCCUUUUUCUACCAGUGCACCUAGGGUGCAGGAGCCGCCGCGCCCCCGACCUCGUGCCGCCCGAGGCAUGCCGCGCCGCCGCGCCACGAGGGAGCAGGAGCCGCCGUGACCUCGGCAUCCUGUCAUGCCGUCCGCAUCAUGCCUCGCUCCGCCGAGGGAGCAGGACCCGCCGCCGCCCUUCACCGCGUCCUCCGCCUCCCUCACUCCGUCGCUACGAGCUGCCUCACCGGUCGGAUCCACUCGAUCUGUACAAGCCACAACCACAUCUCUCAUGGGAACUGGACUGCGUGCAAUCUGCCUCCGCCACGCCCCACUCCUCGCAUGGCCAUCGCCGGUCCACUCCACGCGCGGACGUGCCAACCUUGACACCAUCUCCAUCCACUUGACGACAUACUCAUUGUAUGGACCCGCGCCACGAUCUGCAUGUAGCGCCGCCUCAGGUUAUUACGUUCAUCAAGGUAGGCUACUUUAGGUACUCACUCAAGUAGGGAGUCGUUGUUUUCCCCGUUUAGGCUAAUGAUCUUCAUAGAAGACGCAACUCCAAAUAGUUUUGCUUUAUGUAUGACUACAAUACAAGAUUUAUUUGGUUAGUAUAUUUAUUUGAUUGUCUCGAUGUGAUCUGGAAGUGUGCUAAUUUUUAUGUUAGCAAUUUAGCAUUUUCAGGUUUGAUCUGAGCUUAUCUGGAGGUGUGCCAAAGACUGAAGUAUCACCACUGUUGUUUCUUCGUGCACCACAGACGCUCAUCGACAUGCAAUGGUUUUUUUCGUGCCGGGGACCGAGAGUGUGGAGCUCACGUGUAUGUUAUUUUUCUCAAUGAGAACCAUGUUGAAUUAGAUUACUUGAAAUCUUGAUUUUGGCCAUGUACGUGCAGUUUCACUGGUUGUUUAUAAACAGAAAUCUGAGGUGGGUUUUGAUUUCUGAAUCUGGGAAGGGAAUUAGCAAAACUUCAGAGGAAGUAGGAGACUGUGUUUAAGUAUAUACUGCCAUCAACCUGAUCGAUAUCUUCCUCCUUGCAUUUUCAGUUGAACAUUUUCUAGCACUCUAAGCAGAAAUAAUUAUUUGAAACAAAAUGUUCAUUGUACAGAAAUUAUUAAAUGAUGUUUUAACCUUAGUAUUAGGGCAUUCCAUUGUAGAGAAACAGGCACACAUUUUUUCAGAGUACAAGCUUAAUCUUGUGGAUGCCUAAAUACAAUCAAUUUACCCCUGUAAUUGCAUCCAAUUUGAUGUUCUUGUCAGUUGUAUUAUUUAGUGGGCGCGGGUUUCCAGCACCAAUAUAAUUCCUUAAAUGGGGAUCUUUCUUUCCGUCUUGUGACCCCCCAGUUGAUAAGCAAUGUCAAGAACCACCACUGUUUCACUGCGUCAAAUUAUCAUUUUGUAGGCCGUAUAUAGAAGAACUAGAGUUGAAGCUUCCUGAGUAUACCAAAAGAUGUCAAAUCAACAACAGAUGGUUCAGGAGGUAGCCUCAAAGGUAUAAAUUCAGCACUGGAUCCUACUUCCGUAUUCGUACAUUUCUAUCUAAAAUUCCCAUGAAUAUCAUGUUAGUUGGUUUGUUCAUUGUACACUGCAGUAUACUAUUUGCGAGUUUCUGUUAACAGUUAGCCUCUGGAUCCCAGUAUGACAAUAAUUCAAACAGACACCAUGAAUGCCUUUACUAAAAGUGAGAAUUCGAUCCUCCAUUAAUCAUGAAUGCCCUUACUAAAAUUGAAUGCAUAUUUUUUUUGGCUUGGUGGAGGCGUGGAGUGUCUGCAUCGAUGCACCACACUCGAAUUAGGGGUCGACCACACUGAGAUGGCCAAAAUGGAGGCGUUGAUUCGUUAGGUUUGGCUCAGCUUCUUCAUUGGGAAUGACUUGACUGAUCUGGAACUUUUUUUUUGGCCUAACAAAUAUCGCAAAUGUUCUCCAGUUAGCCACCUCACUCGCCUUUUACUCCCUGCAAUCAAGACCCCAAGACACUGGUAUCUCUGUCCCCAUAAGUUGAUCCACCCACUUCUUCCCCCUGACAGAUUAACCUACCAUCUCAUCAAUUCGGUUCUCUAUUUUGAGCAUAUGUGACAUGUUCUGCAGGGCAUUCAGUUUUGAUUUUUAUUUGCAAGGAUUCAGUUUUUGAUUUUAGUUUGUGGGGUUAAUUUCCUGCUGUGAAAAACUGAUAUUCUUGUGUGGGGUAUUCAGCUCUUGGCUUGCAAGGACUCAGUUUAUGUACUUCUGCUCCUAGAGAGGGUGCAUCAAGCAUUGGAAUGCUGCAUGUAUCAAUUCGGUUCUCUAUUUUGAGCAUAUGUGAUAUGUUCUGCAUGGCAUUCAGUUUUGAUUUUUAUUUGCAAGGAUUCAAUUUUUUAUUUUAGUUUGUGGGGUUAAUUUCCUGCUGUGAAAAACUGAUAUUCUUGUGUGGGGGAUUCAGAUCUUGGCUUGCAAGGACUCAGUUUAUGUACUGCUGCUCCUAGAGAGGGCGCAUCAAGCAUUGGAAUGCUGCAUGUAGAAACCUUGAUAAUUUCUUUUGUACUUAUUAUUUUCUCUGAGAUAGGACGUUGAAUCUACAUAUGUUUAUGACAUUGUUUUCUUAGAUAAAGGAAAGUUAAGUAUUCUAAAGAAGAUGAAAUAUUUGAAUAUAGAUGUGACCUUAAUUUUUUUUUUACAUUAUAACCUCAGAUCAGUUGAUUGAAUUACAAGGUGCAGGUGAUCAAGUUAAUGCUCCUGUAGCGUUGGCUUCUGGAUACCGCGUGAAGCACGUUCAAGAUUAGAUAGUAAUUUGCAUGGUAUCUCAUAUUUUCGUCAGGAAAUGCGCUAUUGUUAACACAACCGUGCCAGUAUCAAGAUGAUGCACUAGAUGUGUCAAAUGCUUCUAUGUGUCAAGUAUGUAUCGGACAAAAUUCUCCCAAGAUGAAGGCAUUGCCUUUAGGAGCACUAUGUCCAAUGCACAUUAAAAUUGAACCGAUUGUGAUCAGUAUAGAUUGGUGAAUUGUUCCGUGGCACCACAAGGUUAUAAUUGUCAUUGGUCUAUGUGUUAAGAUUGAUGUUGAUUCGUGAAUCGAGCGUUAUUCUCAUGCAUGUAUGACAUGAACUUGUUCUAAAAUCAUAUACUCCCUCUGAACCAUAUUAGUUGUUGCUCAUAUGGAUGUAUCAAGCACUGAAAUGUCUCUAGAUACAUCUGUUUGAGCGACAAGUAAUAUGGAUUGGAGGGAGUACUAUAUGAUACUUUUCCCAUGUUUAUUUUUGGAAACAUUUGUGGUUCAUCAUGUAAGAACCAUGAACAAUCAUAUUAUUAUUUAACUUUUUUUCAUUGCUUUUCAUGACAUUGCUUGUGCCUUGCGACAGUGUAUGGCCCUUUAUCAAUUAUAACUCUGAUAAAGUUUACCUUGGCACUCAUUUAGUAUGUUCCUAUUUUUCCUUUUUGUACCUUUUCUUUCUCUACCAUGUUCAUUUGUACAAUGCUUAAUCGCAUCAUAAGUCCUAUGAAGUUUGCAUUAGAUAAUAGAAACAUUAUGGAAUAUUUUGUUCCAUUUUUAGUAUACGCACAGUAAAUAUCAUGUAUGUUCUCUAUGGAAAGUUCACCCCCUUGAUUGCCUUUGAUGUGUGAAUUUUGCUAAUUAUGAACAGGGAAAUUCCUAUGUACAGUUAUUCGUGCGUUGCACGUGCACGCUUACUAAUACGUAGUAUACAUGUGUAUAUGUGUUCAUGAAUAAAUUUGAAAUUUUCGCGAUCAGGAAAAAUGAAAUAUAAAAAUGAGCUCCCUGGAGCUCGGCCUCCGUUGGCAUUUUCUGAUAUAUGACAAUUAGCACAACUAGAUUACUUAUUAAGAGCAGCAAGUUAUUUUCUUUGAUGUAUAUGACAAUAUAAAUUGAAGACUAACCUUGUGCCUUAGGUUUAUAUAAGAGUUCACAUGAAUUGCAGUUCUCUUAAUGGAGUACUAGUAUGUAGAGGUGACGUACAGUUCACAUUCAUCUCUUGCAGUUCGUUUUGUUUAUUUGGAGCAGCCAAUGUUGCAGUUCACAGAGCAGCAAAUGCCCACCGAGCAGAGAUAUUACAUGUCGUAUGGUGUAUGACUGAUUCUACACCAAGAUAAUAUGAACUUACUACUAUAUUUUUGUGCAGAUGAUCAAUGACAAGAGUUCGAGGUCUCAGAUGAUUGGAGCCCAUUUUACCUUAGGCAUAAGAGCCACUUCCUUGCCAUCACUGAUGGCAAUCACGAUUACUCGGCCCCUAAGCUGGCUUGCCUCUCAUCCUCAGAAUAGUCGCAGAAGUUGUUUGUGGUCGCCCCACCCGAAAACACAUUAAGCUUAUCAACCAUCUUGGCACAGUCCUUGAAUAGCUCAUAGCGCCGCGCCUUCUCCUCAUCAUCCUUGUAGGUGCGACGGUACUUGGCCAUCCACUCCUCGAACCUCUUCUUCAUGGCUUCCUCCUUGUAUGUGCGGUGAUACCUAGCCAUCCACUCAUCAUACCUCUUCUUGAAGGCUCCCCCCUUCAGGGCCUCCUCCAGAACAAGAUUGCGACCUGAGAUAAAGGGUGAGACAAGGUUCAUGAUGAGGAUCAACUAACAAGGCCACAGAUCCAGGGGCUGGUCACUUUAAUACCAACAUUUGCCUUUCCAAAUUUCAGCAAGCCAAAGUUGGGGCUUGGAAACAUAUUGCCAGCUAAAUUUAUGAUUAGUAUUUUGACAACUACUAAUAUAAUUUGACAAGUGACAUAGCCACCUAGGCAUGCCAGUUUCUGUUCGCAUGCCAAAUAUUGGCAAGGCAACGAUUUGGUAGGGGACUGAUCAGGCCCCCAAAUGUAGAUGUGUUUCAUGCCUACUGGCCCCUCCGCAUCCCCGUUUUGAUACGAUACCAUAUUACUAAUAGGUGCAGUAAUUUGCUAAAAACUUCCAAAUGUGCAGCUAUGUUUUUGUUUAAAAAACAGAGAUUUUAAUUCCAAGUAGAGUCCAAUGGAAAAAUCUACGUGAAUAGAAUUCUAAUUCUAUUGACUUAAUCCGAUUAAUUGAAUUAAACUCUAUCCUCUGAAGCCAAACAGUUCAUCCAACAUCUUACUCCUCCCUAUAUGGCGAGACACUCAAACUCUUUUACAUGGCAAGACUCACUCUCUUAUAAACAAUAGCGUUGAGACUAUACUAGCCCACUAUUUGAUUCAAAAUUUCGCUUAUAGUAGUUUAAUAUUGGUCUAGAGAAACAAAUUACUAAAUCAUAUGCGAGCAUAUUACAUCAGAAUUUCAAUUCAAUUACUCAACCUAGAUACAUCCAAUAUGUAUAGGCUUAGGUUUGAAGAUUUUAAAUUACAUUUGUCCAUCUGCACGGCCAUAAAAAUAAAGGCACGUGCAUGGCUAAUAAUAAAGUUCAUAACAGUAAAUAGCCACAAUCAACACCACACAACUACUAUGUAUUUUCCUACUUGCCUACCAAGUUGCCCUUGCCACGGCCCAUUUGAUCUCUUGCAAGGUACAUCAAAAUUUUGGUAUAUAUGGCUUGCUAGUCAUUCCUGCAUGCAUAUCUUUACUACUAGAGCGGAUACAUUUUCUAGUUUAUGUCCCGGUGAUCCAUUUAAGAAUCCAAUUAAUCGGUCAGUGCUCAACACUUGCAAACAAACUAAUUUGAAGAAUACCGAGCUUGAGGAACAGGGCCAGUAAGCUAACCAUCAUGAACGUAGAAAGAAACAGUUUUAGGUGCUCCAUAUGGACUAUGGAAACAAAACUUGUACGUUCCACCCCUUGGAGCAUUAAACUCGAAUUUAUCACCAGAUUUUCCCUUCAACGUAUAUACAGUGUUACCGCCUCGUGAAGUUACCUAUGUUCACAAACAGUAUUAUCAAACAUGAGCAAGGUGGUCCAUGGAUCAAUUGCUAAAUGAAAGAAAUAGAGAGAAGUGCAUAUUUCAACCCCGAACUUUUGCCCUAGUCUAAUUUACAACCCCGAACUCCAAUACCGUCUAAACUACAACCCCAAACUCUCAAAACCGGUCAGGAUUCAACCUUUAAAACCGGUCAACUUGGUCAAAACUGGUCGAGAGGUAGAGAAAGGAUGAAUCCUGACCGGUUUUGAGAGUUGGGGGUUGUAGUUUAGACGUUAUUGAAGUUCGGGGUUGUAAAUUAGACUAGGGCAAGAUUUCAGGGUUGAAAUAUGCACUUCUCUCAAAGAAAUAAGGUAUGCUAGUUGUAUCAAUUUCUCUAUCUAGAGCGAGAAAGUGAGAAUGCAGAAACUCAAUUGUGAAAGGGGCAAACAAAAUGUGUGCUCAAGUGAACUUAAGGAUCCCGAUCUGAUAACGGAACUCCAGAAGAAGCUCUUCAUCAAAGCAUAUACUUUUAUGAAGCAACAAUUUCCAUGAAAUCAGUAGUGUUGUCAAUCACUAGAAUCUGAAUCAUCCAUGGACUGCACUCACAAUACACGCAUGCCAAGCCACAGAUACCAAAGGAGCACCCGAAAUUUCCCUCAGUGGUCUGGAUUUUGCACGAGAGCACCAACGAAUCAACACUCCCCUAUAUUAAAUUAAUAUACAGUACAAGUUACGCACUAGAACUAAACAAAAAUAAUGCACGUUACUAAUCGCCAAAUCGGCAAGCCGCAGCGCAGAUCCCCGGGAUUCGAUGCGGGACCAAUUUCAAGCCGACAGCCCCCACAGAUCCGUACCAAAACAACCCAUAAUCGACUCAAAUCAACCAGAUCCUCGCAUCCAAAUCAAAUCAAAUCCGCAGGAAGAAUGCGAUGAGGGGGAGGGAGAUGAAUCGGGCGAGUACCGUGAAGUCGAUGCCGGGGUCUGGGGGGGAUUUGAUGAUAACCCCCCCAGUUCAUGUCACUUUGAUCAUAACCCCCCCUUUGUGUCACUGACAUGCCCACAUGUCAGUGACACAAAGGGGGGUUAUGAUCAAAGUGACAUGAACUGGGGGGUUAUCAUCAAUUAUUCCGGGUCUGGGCAGUCGGAGCUCCAGAAGAUGUCAUGGUCAACGACGACGAAAUUCCCCGACGUGAAGCCACCCUCGUAGGGCACCAGCUCAUGGAUGCACUCGCCGGUUUCGGUGCCCGCCGCCACCAGCGCCACUGCCAGUACCAGCAGCAUCGCCGGCGGCCACCUCGCCAUGGCGGCUGGCGCGACCGUGGAGACCAGGUCUGGAUUUCGGGCUGGGCGGGCGAGGCGGUGAGUUUCGCUUGGGUUCGGGAGGAGAGAGACUGAGGGCGACUGGGAGUCUGGAACGAUCUCCUCUGCUAGACCUGUAGACAUCACAGUCACAGGAGAGUCAACCGGGGCAGUCGGGUCGAGGUCGCCCAAAUCCAUGACCGAUAAUUAAUGGCCAGCGCUGGGCGCCGGUGCGCCCGCCCAAACGUUUCGGCCGGUCCUCGUGCAGCCGCACAAUUAGUGUUUCCAGAACCGCACGAUUCAGCGAGCUAUCCCACGCACGUCUGCUUCUUCCUCGCUUCAGAUCUACCAUAUCCUCUGCGGUGGUUUGCGCAUAGCCCCCACCCCGCCGCUCAUUGGCUCACCGCCACCGCUCGGCGGCUCACCGCGGCUGCCCGCCGGCUCACAGGAUGAAGCACGCUGUGGCCGCUCGCCUCGCUGGACAACUGCAAAAAAUCUCUGUUUUGGCAGGUUCCAGCAAAAUCAAUUGCUGUUUCCAGCAGAAAAACACAAAGGCUGCAGAAAAGGAAAAAAAAUGAACACAGUCUUCUCCGUCGCCACCCAGCACCUUCUCGUUGGUUGAAGCAAAUCCUCUGGCCGGUUCAGCAAAAAGAAAUACUGUUUCCAGCAAAAAACAAGAAAGAAUACUGCAAAAAAAUCAGCGCGGGCACCACCUCGCCUGUGGAAGCAAUCCCAUGAGCCAGCUCCAGCAAAGAAAAAUGCAAGUUCCAGCAAAAAUCAAUUACAACAAAAACACUUCCGUCCCGACAAAAAAUUUAACAUGCAGGUUCCAGCAAAAAAUGCUACUAGUAGAAGCAAAAACUACCAAUGGUUCCAGCAUCCCCGUUGCCCGGUUCCAGCACGGUCACCAUCCCCGCUGCCCGGUUCCAGGAAAACAACCAUAGAAGCAAAAAUCAGAAGAAAAAAAUCUGCUUGUAGCAAAGGAAUAGCCGGUUGUAGCAAAAUUUGACACUAGUUCCAGCAAAAUAAACAUAGCAGCAAAAAUCCCCAAAGUCUGAUUGUAGCAAAAUAACUAGCCGGUUCCAGCAAACAUUUAUGCUGGUUCCAGCAAAAACCACAUCGCCGGUGAGCGCGCUACACCUCCAACUCCAAUGGGCACGUCGUCUUGCCGGUUGCAGCAACCGCAGAGCCGGUUCGAGCAAAAAUCCUGGCCGGUCGUUGCAAAACAAUGAUGCCAGUUUCUGGCAAAAACAAAGUGAUUGGGGGGUGGAAUAGAACAAUUCAAAAAAGAUGCGACCAGCUAGUGAAAAAGCUACAUCCGUCAAUCCAAAAAGCUACAACCGGCAUCGCUGCACAAAAGCAACAGGGCAUCGUCGGCGUCUCUCCCCGACUGCACAACCACCGCAGGAAGCAGCACACGUCCCCGUUGCAGGCGUCCCCCUUGCAGGACCUUGAUGUUGCGGCGAGGCGGGGGUUGGGGAGGUGCGGAGGGAGAAAGAGGAUAGGCUGCCGUAGGUUCAUGGCGCGGCGGCCGGCUUGUCUUCGCAAAUGGUAAGGGGCAGCAGGGGGAGAGGAAGGUGGAAGACGCAGUCAUGUGUGGUUGGGCGUUGAAGAUGACGGGAGAGAUGAGGAUAAGAUCGCUGAGCGGUGCUUGGUCCCACACAGGCACGUGGGGCGCAACCGACCGAUCUACCUGUUGGAAACGUAUGAUGUGGGCAAUCGAACGAGCCGCGUGCGACCGGCCGAGCGUUCGGCUGGCGCCCCGGCCCCAAACGUUCCCAUAAUUAAUGGGUCUUUUUUUGUGCUGACAAUUAAAUGGGUCUAUAGAAGAGAGGGGCAUACAAUACGGACAAAAUUAGAAAGAAAAUAAACCAAGAUUUAUUUGCACUGGUAUGCUGGCAGGAUGUUUUACGUGUUGUUAAUGAAGCAAGUGAAAACUGAUGCGUUGGUUCUAUGAGGCAUUAGCACAACGACUACCCGAUUAUCUACUAUAAUAAGUUGUGCUCGGCUCCGGCGAGGGAGGGGCGAUAAGGGCGGCGCGCUUUCAGCUCGCUUCAAUACUUGUAGUUAUCGCUAGGUGGUCUAUGAAUCUGGAUAUAAUUUAUUUCUGGUGCUCAUUAUACUGCCCUGAUUGAAGAUGAAUAGAAUGAAUAUUUCUCUAAAAAAUGAAAAUCAUAUAAAAUCAAGCCGUGCAUUUUUGUUUCAAAUCCAUGGUAAUUUUAUUUUAUUAAUAUUUUUCCUGACACUAUUUAGUGUUAUUCGCCAUGGCUGUUUUUGGCCCAUUUUCUAUUUGUUUCGCACUCUUUUUUGUAAGGCAUGGUAGUGGGAGCUCCUAAUCAGCACCGGCCCACGAAACGGACCGCCACAAAAUGGUGCAUUACUCCCUCCGUAAAUGAUUCUGAAAAAAAAAAUACUCUCUCCAUAAACUAAUAUAUAAGAGCGCUCACAUGAAGUAUCGAACCUGCGCCCUACACUACUAACACGACUUCGGCUAACCACUAGGAAGUUCAAGCCAUGGAUGUAUCAAGCCAUGGAAGUUCAUCAAUUUUAAAAAAUAGUUUUAGAAAAAUUAAAUAACGUUCAUAAAAAAUUGAAAAGAAAAUUCACCAUUUUUUAAAAAGUUUACCAAUUUGGAAAAAAACUUCAUCCAAUUAUAAAAUAAGUUCAUCUAAUUUUAGAAAAAAGAUCAUCAAUUUUAAAAAAGUUUAUCAAUUUUAGAAAAAUAUCAUCAAAUUUGGAAAAAGUUCAUUGCAUUUGAAAAAAAUGUUCAUCCAAAUAAAAAAAUCAUCAGUUGUUAAAUAUAGUUCACUAAAAUUAAAAAAAGUUAAAUGAUUUUGAAAACAAAAGUUCACGAAUUUUUUUAAAAAAACAUCAUCAAUUUGGAAAAAUUUCAUGCAUUUAAGAAAAGAAAAAAAAAUGAAAAUCGAUGAUGGAAGAAACCUGGAAGAAGAAAGAAUUGAAAAAAAAACGAAAAUGGAAAAUAGGAAAAAGAAAAAAAAAGAGAAGGAAGGAAUAAAAAAAAGGAAGAGUUCAAGCUUAGCAGAUCGUGCUCCGCGACGCGUUGGGUUUACGAACGAACCUCAAUGUGUGAGGCCGUCUGUUCGAUCGAAAUCACUAAUUAAGGAGUACUCAUUUUAAAGAUCACUCUCACCUAGCCUAGGUUGUGACAAGUGGCGCUUUGCAUGUGGGCCACUUGUUGCAAGCUGUGCGUUUUCUUUUUUUAUCGUAGAUCCGUUUAUUCAAAACAUUUUAUCUCUUAAAUGGUUUGUUCAAAUCUUGAACCGUUUUCAUCAUUGGAUUCCUCGCGUCGAAAUCUUCAAAACUAAAUUCCACGAUGAUAACGGCUGUGCCUCUCGCGAAAGCAAAACCGUGCCUCUCAUACAAGAAAAAAAACGCGUUUUUUCGUUUCCAAGAGGCACGGUUGUGCCUCUCGUGGAAGUAAAACCGUGUCUCUCACGAAAGGAAAAAAAAGAGAAGAAAACACAUUUUUUUCUGUUAAGCAAAAACGUGUCUCCCGGGGAAGAAAAACGUGUCUCACGAAAGGAAAAAACAAAAACGUGUAUUUUGACGCAAAAUUGGUUUUCCAAAUUUUUGGUGAAAAGCUAAGAAAGACUGGUGAAAACCGAAAAGUUAAAAAACUAGAAAAAAUACAUCUAAAAAGUAGAAAACGUGUGCAAACAAAUAAAAAAAAUCCAGAGGAAGCGCCCAAGAUGUGGCACGUGCCGGCAGCUGAGAGGACGUCAAGUGGCACGCUCUCAGCCCCACCACAAGUGAUCGUUGCGAGACUCUUGAAGAAGCGCUUGUUAACUAGUUUCUUCCUAUUGGAUUCGCAGCGACCACCAUUGUUUUUCUUUUUUUUUGCAUAUUAAUAUACACAAUAACGGGCGCCUGCAACGUCACAUAGAAUUUGCCCAUGGUAGUACUUUUUUGGAUCUUAAACCUGGGCCAUUUCUAGUCUGAUUUUACAAGGAGGCUACAAAAUUGACUUUCCCCGGUUAUUGGGGUCCAAUCAAAAAUAUCUGUCUACCUCAAAAAAAAUUAUGUAGGGAUGAUUAUUAUUUUCUUUAUAAAAGAAAACCAAUUAUUUUUUUAGACGGAACUCUCGAAAAUCAAAGGAUCUAGCGGUUAGCUGGAAACUAAUCCACGCCGCAAAAAUUAAAAAUGGAAACUAAUCAUUCUUUUGGCAAUUUGGCAACAAAUCCUGGAAAGAAAUAAUCAGGUGAGUAUUCCUGCCCGCCUCAGGAUUGAUUAGUGCAUGCUAUAUAUGUGUGCAAUCUUAAUUAAUAUGCCAUACUAGUACUAAAUAUUUAUAUGAUGAUCUGGCAAUAAUCCUUAAUUUUGGCAUGCAGUUAGGAAACUACUCAUGCAUGGAAACAAAUAAUCUUCUGGUGUGUGUUGUCCUGCCUAACCGAUUAAUUAGUGCAUGCAUGCUGAAGUAUAUAUAUCUACGCUCAUAAUUUGCCAUACAUACAGGCAUGAAUGCUGCCAAGCCCUAGCGAUUGAUUUGAUACGAUUGAAGUCUAUAUAAAUGAACAAUCUACUCGUUCACCUCGAUCUACAAUCCAUGACCACCACCACCAUCACCAAUUCGAUGACAACGACGACCAGCCAGCAGAGACAAGCCAUGGCGACCUGCAGCCAGCUCCUCCUCGCGCUCGUCGUCGUUGCCGCCGCCGUUGAUUGCAUGGCGGCGUUUGAUCAGGAUCACACGCCGUUCAAGCCAAUCCCGGACCUGUCCGUCCCGCGCAUCCAGGAGCUCGGCCGAUGGGCCGUGCAGCAGCACAAUGAUCAGACGGGCGACCGCCUGACGUUCACCAGAGUGAACGGCGGGCAGUUCCAGAUUGUGGCGCCGGCGCUCAACUACCUGCUUGCCAUUGACGCGACGAACGUCGACGGCACGGCCAGCACGCACUCCGCCCUGAUCUUCGUGCAGUACUGGACCAACACGCAACGGCUCGACUCUUUCAACUGAUCUAUCCAGUGACAUAUGUACCGAUCGCGCGAGGGAGGGCCUGCUGAUUGUAUUGUCUUGACGAUGCAAUAAAAACGAUCGAUUUCCAGUUUUGAAUUUAUACGUAUUUGUUUCUACAUCACAGGCAUUAACUUUCUUUGUGCAAGUAUGCAUGCUUUCUUUUGGAUAAAGUAUAUGCUUGUUUUCAUAUCACGAAAUAGCACAUAGUAUUGAACCCGUACAAGCACACACUAAAAGCAUGGUUAAUAAUAUAGCCAUGAGCCUGCUGUAUGGAGUUGCCAUAGAAAACUAGCUGGGUUUUCCUCCUCUCGGGCGAUCUAGGUUACCCGUGAGUUCUCCCCGUCGACGGCAGGCCCCAGGUGAUCCGCUAAUUAGUCUGGAUGGCGCCCCCCUCGGAUGCCCGCUCUGCCACGAGCGGCGGUGGCGGGUCCGCAUCUGCCGCCAAGUCCGUUCUGGAGGGCGGAGUUCGAGGACAUUGUGAUUGACGAGGAAGACCCAUAACUCCAGGAAAGUACUCGAUGGCUUGCCCUAGCUAGGGUUCAUACUGAGAAAACCUUUAGUCAAUCGACAUUUUACAAGGACAUGAGAGCUGCGUGGAAUCCGAUGCAGCGGGCAAGAUUCCGUCCGGUCGGCCCCAAUCGGUUCGUCGUGCAGGCAUCGUGCUUGGGGGAUUGGGAUCGAAUUAUGCUACAGGGACCGUGGUUGUUUCGCAACUGGGCAGUGUUACUAUGCCCAUAUGAUGGUUUUACUAAAACAGAGGAGGUUAGCAUUGUUCAUAUGCCUGUUUGGCUGCAAAUCCAUAAGCUUCCAGAUGUUUACUGCAAGAAGAACAUUUUGAAGGGUGCAGUAGAGAUCAUGGAGAUGCGCUUGGAUGGUAAUAUCAGGGGAGACUAUGUAAGAGUCAGGGUUAACCAUGACAUCAGAAUGCCCCUGACGAAAUCUGUGAGUAUUGUCCGUGGUAGAGAAUGCCAUGUUUACCUUGUUCGAUAUGAAAAGUUGGCGAGAUUUUGCAGAAUGUGUGGCCUUGUAGGCCAUGAAUUCAAGGAGUGCGGAAUGGGUAUACACGAGGAGAAGGAUAUGAAGUUUGGCGUGUGGCUGUACGCGGGCGCACCCAACAAACCUAGAGGGGACUCUCAGUCAGCAGAGGAACAUACGGCCGAUCGUUCCAGGAAUGUGCAUGUUAAAUCUCUGGCAACGAAUGCAUCGGCUGGGCUGGGGAAGAAAGUGGUUGAUCCUGAUAUGAUGGACAUGUCCAUGUGCCCCGUGAAGAUCCCAGGGUGCAGCAUAGUGCAGGAUAAGGUCCCCAGAACGAGACUGAACACGGACAAGGCAGAAGGGGCGCUCAAGGCAGCCUCUGGUACCCCGCAACCCUUGCUGGCUAUCACUGAUGGUUCUAGCAAGGAUUCGAAGGAGAAUAACUCUCCUACAAGUAGCUCUAGUAGCAAGAGGGCAAGAGUUUCCAAGGAUAGCGAGAACCCACAAAAUUUGGUGCCCAUCUUCGAGGAGGACCGCCCGUCUCAAUGAAUAUCUUAUCGUGGAACUGCCCAGGAGGGGGGAGGUGUAACACCCCGAGGUCGAGGUGCCAGGUGUCUUCCAGUUAUUUGCUGUUGUUGCCUUGUCAUUCGCUUGCAUGUUGCAUCUUGUCAUGUCAUCAUGUGCAUUGCAUCAUCAUGUUUUAAAACUUGCAUCCGUCCGGGUUCUCCCAGUUCCUUCCGUUGUCCGUUCUGAGCCCAGACACACUUGCACGCGCCCGCGACAUGUCCAAAAUAUUAUUUUUACAAGUGGCCGGAAAAUGUUUUCGGAAUAGGGUGAAAGUUGGCAUGCGGUGUUGUUUUGUUGUUAGUAGGUCGCCUGCCAAGUUUCAUCACAUUUGGAGUCCGUUUGAUAGCCCAACCGUUAAACUAUAGCGACAAUAUAGCCGGUCUAACGUCGGACGUUUUCGGUCUCCGGAAACAGUUGCCGGGCUGCUCCCCUCUCCUCUCAUCUCAGCCCAACCUCUUUUCACAACUCACCUGCAGCCCACCUAAACCCCCUCCGUUCCGGGCCGUCAGAUCGCGAUCGGAGGCUCCGAAACGCUCCUAAAACCCCCCUAAACCCAAACCCUAGCCAUCCCUGUCUAUAUAUGGACAACCCCUUCCAAAUUUGGCAGCCUAGCCCUUCCCCUACCUCCCUGCCGCCUCCCUCCUCAAAUUCCGUGCCACCAACCGCCUCCCCCUCGUUUCCCGGUGCCAGCCACCGUCGUCCCGCCACUUGGCGAGCCUCCAAUGGCCGCGCCGCCACCUGAGACCGUCAGCGCGCCUCCCUGGACCAGUGGCAAGCCGCCACGCGUCGCCUCAGCCCCUCCCUCGCGCCUCCAGCCGCGCGGGCCCACCGGAAUCCAUCUGGAGCCCGCCCUGGGCCGCCCGGGCCCGAAUCGCCCCGCCGCCGUGCGCCCGAGCGCGCUCGCUCGCCCGCUCGUUUGCCUCCUCCUGCUGGAGCCCCGCUUCGCCUCGCGCUUCGCCUCCUUCUGUCGGCCACCGGUGUGCCGCCGCCGGCGACCUCCACCUCAGGCGAGAGCCCCGCCGUCCCUGUCUCUUCUCUCUUUCUUCUCCUCCCUCUUACUCACCUCGCGCUCUCCCUCCUACCCCGCAGGGAACCACCGCCGCCACCGGAAGCUUCCGCUGCCGCCGUCGACCAUCGAUGGAUGAGCAAACCCCGGAUCCGGCCACUCCGGCCUCCUCCCCACCAGAUCCGUGGGAUCCCGUUCGUCACUGCCGCCGCGCCCUUUGCUUCGACGGAGCUCGAAGGCCCGGCGCCCCUGCCUUCGCUCGAUCCCCUCUGGCUCGAGGAGGAGGAGGACGACAGGCGUCGCCGACACGUGGGCCGCGGCCUGGCCAGCCGGCCCAGCCACUCACCUGUGCCGCGCAAGGCCCAGGAGUCCCAUGCCGGCCUCCCUCCUCCACCGAGUGGCCGAGGCCCAGCUGCGCCCCCCUUCUGGCCUCACCUCACCACCGACUGUGACGUGGCCCAUGUGAGCAGCCACCCCCAGCCCUCCUGUGCACUGUUGGCCCAGCCAGAUGCGGCCCGUGUUAUUUUUUCCCUACGCUGCGAUUUUAGCUAUUAUCCAGAGUUUGCCAGUUUUGCAGAAAAGACCCUCAUGUUCAUGCAUAUAAUAACUCACAAUUCGUGCAUCGGAUUAAAAUGAUUUAUAUAUGAAACUUGCUCAGAAUUGUCUAGUUUAAUAAUUUGCCACUUUCACCCAUGUUUAAAAUGUUUAAAAUGUUGUUUGAUUAAUUUUUGCUCUAUGUCAUGUUAAAAUGCCUUAAUUCCUAACUAAAUAACCGUAGCUCCGAAUUAAAUAAUCUUUAUAUGUAAAUGGGGUAGAAUUUUGCCUCGUUUAACAUGGUGGCAUCAUCUUGCAUGUUUAAUAACUAUAAAAUAUGGUUUAGGACAGAACAAGACCUAACCUAAUAUAUGCACAUGAGGAGAUUCCGGAUUUGUUGUUCGUUGCUUCCGGCCUCAUUUAACCUUGACUAGAUGUGUAGUUUCUUUAUGCUUCAUCUCUUGCCAUGCUAACAACAUUGAAUAUUGUUGGGUACAUAAAUGAGAUCGAACCAAAUAACUUGAAUGUGGUGUUUCGUCAAUAUGCAACGGAAUUGCAUGUUGAGCUCCACUUAAUUUGUAGGAUUGUUUGUGCAUUUUGCCAUGCCAUGCUUCAUUAAACCGGACAUGCAUCAUACUUGAUUGUGCAUCGUGCCAUGUUGAUGUGUUGGUUGUUUACUAUGUUGUUUGCUUCUUUCCGGGUUGCUUCUCGCGUUAGCUUCGGUUUCGUUCCGGAGUUGUGAGUUUUGGUUCGACUUCGCCCGUUUGUCUUCUUCAUGGACUCGUUCUUCUUCCUUGCGGGAUUUCAGGCAAGAUGAUCAUACCCUCGAAAUCACUUCUAUCUUUGCUUGCUAGAUGCUCGCUCUUUUGCUAUGCCUAUGCUGCGAUACCUACCACUUGCUGAUUAUGCCUCCCAUAUUGUUGAACCAAGCCUCUAACCCACCUUGUCCUAGCAAACCGUUGUUUGGCUAUGUUACCGCUUUGCUCAACCCCUCUUAUAGCGUUGUUAGUUGCAGGUGAAGAUUGAAGUUUUGUUCCUUGUUGGAACAUGGAGAUCGUUCCUUGUUGGAACAUGUUUACUUGUUGGGAUAUCAUAAUAUAUCUUGUUUAAUUAAUGCAUCUAUAUACUUGGUAAAGGGUGGAAGGCUCGGCCUUAUGCCUGGUGUUUUGUUCCACUCUUGCCGCUCUAGUUUCCGUCAUAUCGGUGUUAUGUUCCCGGAUUUUGCGUUCCUUACGCGGUUGGGCUAUUAUGGGAACCCCUUGACAGUUUGCCUUGAGUAAAACUCUUCCAGCAAUGCCCAACAUUGGUUUUACCAUUUGCCACCUAGCCUUUUCUUUUCCCUUGGGAUCGCGCUCCUGAGGGUCAUCAUNNNNNNNNNNNNNNNNNNNNNNNNNNNNNNNNNNNNNNNNNNNNNNNNNNNNNNNNNNNNNNNNNNNNNNNNNNNNNNNNNNNNNNNNNNNNNNNNNNNNNNNNNNNNNNNNNNNNNNNNNNNNNNNNNNNNNNNNNNNNNNNNNNNNNNNNNNNNNNNNNNNNNNNNNNNNNNNNNNNNNNNNNNNNNNNNNNNNNNNNNNNNNNNNNNNNNNNNNNNNNNNNNNNNNNNNNNNNNNNNNNNNNNNNNNNNNNNNNNNNNNNNNNNNNNNNNNNNNNNNNNNNNNNNNNNNNNNNNNNNNNNNNNNNNNNNNNNNNNNNNNNNNNNNNNNNNNNNNNNNNNNNNNNNNNNNNNNNNNNNNNNNNNNNNNNNNNNNNNNNNNNNNNNNNNNNNNNNNAGGGGCAACUCUAGGCUGGCCUACCCGUACCUAGGACAAUCUGAGUGUGCCCUGAGAAAGAGAUAUGUGCAGCUCCUAUCGAGAUUUGUCGGCACAUUCGGGCGAUGUUGCUGGUUUAAUUUUACCCUGUCGAAAUGUCUUGUAGAACCGGGAUACCGAGUCUGAUCGGAAUGUCUCGGGAGGAGGUCUAUUCCUUCGUUGACCGUGAGAGCUUGUGAUGGGCUAAGUUGGGACACCCCUGCAGGGAUUUGAACUUUCGAAAGCCGUGCCCGCGGUUAUGGGCAGAUGAGAAUUUGUUAAUGUCCGGUUGUAGAUAACUUGAACCUUAACUUAAUUAAAAUGAUUCAACUGCGUGUGUAACCGUGAUGGUCUCUUUCCGGCGGAGUCCGGGAAGCGAACACGGUGUUGGAGUUAUGUUUGACGUAGGUUGUUUAGGAUCACUUCUUAAUCAUAUUUUUAUCGACCGUGCUUUGCCUUCUCUUCUCGCUCUCUUUUGCGUAGGUUAGCCACCAUAUAUGCUAGUCGCUUGCUGCAGCUCCACCUCAUACCUUUACCUUACCCAUAAGCUUAAAUAGUCUUGAUCGCGAGGGUGUGAGAUUGCUGAGUCCCCGUGGCUCAUAGAUACUUCCAAAACCAGCUUGCAGGUGCCGAUGUGUCCGUGCAGAUGACGCAACCAAGCUCAGGAGGAGCUCGAUGAAGAUCUUGUCCUUUGUGUUGUUCCGUUCUAGUUGAUCAGUAGUGGAGCCCAGUUGGGGUCGAUCGGGGACCUUUGUCGCAUUUGGGGUUCUUCUUUUAUUUUGGCUCCAUAUUCGGGCCCUGAUUGUACUUGGAUGAUGUAAUGCUUUAUUCAUGUAAUUGUGUGAAGUGACGAUUGUAAGCCAACUAUGUAUCUCUUUUCCCUUAUUGUAUUACAUGGGUUGUGUGAAGAUUACCUCACUUGCGACAUUGCUUUAUAUGUGGUUAUGCCUCUAAGUCGUGUUUCGACACGUGGGAGAUAUAGCCGCAUCGAGGGCGUUACAGGAGGGGACCACGAGACAGUUCGUGAGGUGUUGGCCCUCUCAAAAGGCAAUAACCCCAAGCCAGUCUUCCUUUGUGAGACUAGACAAGAGUCUAUGAAAGUUGAAAAAAAUGAGAUGGAACUUGGUCCGAAGAGUUUCCAUGGUAUGAGUGAGUAGUGGUGGCAGAAGUAGUUGAUUGACACUAUUUUGGGAUGAGUCUUUGAUAGUAACAAUACUAGAAUCUUGCAAACGGACCAUUGAUAUUAGAAUUGUAGACGGGGGCUCCGGAAUAUCAUGGAGGGGAACCUUUGUUUACGGCAAACCGAGAGUUUAAAACAGACAACCGAUGUGGGAUCAUUUAUGUAGGCUUCGAGCCGUCUGGAGGAGCCUUGGUUGUAGCCUGUUGCCUGGAGCGUUGGUCGCCACUUGGCUCAUCGCUGCCUCCGGGCCGUCGAGCACAGCUAUGAAGAGCCGCCCAGCCGCCACAACUUUUCGAAGGAGAGGGAGACAAAGGAACGAGAUCUGACAGAAUGACUGAAUGACGCUAGGUUUUCCGGAUUAAUAUGCGCUCAGAUCUGGUUAGGCCUCUAUUUCGGCCCGUUAAAAUGGAAUCUCAGCUGAUCGGGGGAAAAUGCAGCGACAACUAACCAAUUUAGCGUUGUUUCACGCCGCAAUCGCGGUCAUAGCAUCCGAUCGCGGGAAAUUGGGCUUCUCAUCACGGGGAGGCUCCCCAACCACGAUUGCGCUGCCAUGGCGCACUUUUCGUCCAUGCUUUUAAAAUUUGGGAUUUGCCCCAUGGUUGCCUCAAGUCACAGACAAAUUAGGCCUGCAGGAAUGGACCAAAUCGUUGCGCAUGCGCUUUUCAUCCUGGCAGGAUCGCUCGGGAGCAGAAGCUAUCAAACUGUAUUGUUCGCUCGCUCCAGGAUUUCUGGGGAGAAGCCAGGUGCUGGCUGCUGGCGCUGGAGUCAGGGACUUCGUGACCGUGGAGCACUACCGAACAUGCCUUUAGGCCUUGUACAAUGGUAGGUGCUUACACACGGGUGCUUAAGAAAAAAGAGCAGCGUAGUGUCGCAAAUAAAUGUGGUCUCGCAAUGCAAAGGUGCUAGGCAGAUGUGCUUCCGUUGCUUCUAUCUGCCUUCAGCGUGACUCAAGGGAGCAGUUAUUUUGCCCAAGCACCGCUGGAACUAGAAGCAAACUUUUGCUUCUGUCUCCUUUCCUAAGCACCUAUUCAAACCAAUCCCAGGAAAAAAUCAGGUUUUUUUCUCAAGCACCCAUGCAAGCACCUGCCACUGUACAGGGACGAGAUAAUUAUAUUAGAAAGGAAAAAGGAAAAAAGACAGCCGUAGGAUGAAGUGGGAGCACGGAUGAGAGCAUGGGAAGGAAACAGGCAAGCCAGAUCUACUGUACAGGGCCUAAUCCCCACAUGGCUUGAUGUGGCCAAUGAUAGAGGCGAGCAUGAAGGAGGGGACAUAGCAGGUCGGUCAAGGCGAGAGACAUACCACUCAGAGAGCAGUUUGCUAGAGUUUUUCUUUCCUUUUGAAGGAUGUGGAGUGGGGUUAGCUUGAUGUCGAGCGAUCAGAACCAGAGUGAGCCAAAUCAUAAGUUCACAACGGAAGUGUGGAUGAAGACAUGUACUGCAUGGGAAAAGUACCCUGCAAUAUAAUCCACAUGAAUCAGAUUGUCCAUAUAAUGAAACAACAGGAAGAAGAAUCUUCGGCGGUAGCAGCAGUAGUAGUAUUUACAUGUUAAUAAUCCAAAUAAUAGUGUUUUAAAGAAAGUUUGAAAUACAUGCUUUAUACUCUCUUUUCUAACUUUAUAAUGAGCUUGCCAUGGAACAUGGCGAUUCCGUAUUAGGUGUUUCUUGGUCGCAUCUUGUAAUAUGUCAACCUUUAUUUGCCGUCUUAGCGGAUCUCCAAAACAGACCGAACAGAGGCAUCCGGACGUAGUUUUCCAUCCGUAGUUGUCUCGUACCGGUCUGUGGACCAGUCCGCGCGCCCAUUUUUUCGCUAACUAGAAACAAACCUCUAUCACGUAGGACUCUGACCCAUCCAAAAUCACACGUAGACCUCGCGUCUCCGUCUCUUUCUGCUUUCUCUACAACUGCUGCCUCCCUGGCCGACGCUACUGCUAUACCACCCUGGCCGCCCGCCAAGUCCUUGCCGGAUCUCUGUGACCUCCGCCGCUCCACCUGGCCGCCAUGCUGCUUUGCCAACGCCGCCAUUCCACAACCCUCAUUUGUCCGGCAUGCAGGUACCAUCUGCCCCUAUGCUGCCCAUGGGAUCACCACGCCCGGCUAGUGUUUGGUGAAAUGCCCAUGCUAAAUUUUGGACAAUUUUACUCCCUUCUUUGAAGCAAUGGAUUCUAACAUGGUGUAUAUCUACCAGCACUACGUUGAGUCAUCUCAUGGCUCGUUCGAUGACGAGGAUUAUGUGGAUGAAACGGCGAUCAUGCAGACGGUCCUUACAGACACGGAGCAUGCGGAAGAGCAUGUUCUCAAUUUCUAGGGAAUGAUCAAGAGUCCUCGAGGUGCUGAAUCGAAAAAGGGCACACGGGCAUUUGCCACUAAUGGAUGACUAUUUUGCCCUUGAGACCCUAUUCAAGCACAAGUUUCACCGGCGCUGUCGGAUGCGGAAAAAUAUGUUUGGUCGCUUCUACAAUGGCGCUCGGGCCUACGAUGACUACUUCAUCUUGAAGAAGGAUGCCAUACGAAGAAUUGGAUUCUGUGCACAGUUGCAUGCAAGAUGCUUGCAUAUUGCACGGCCGCAGAUUCGUGGGACGAUUACCUGAGAUGUCUAAGAGCACAUGUGGAGAUGUCGUGAUUAAAUUUGCUACUACAUUGGUCGAGGUGUUUGGACCAUAGUACUUCAGAGAAUCAACUGUCGCAGAGACACUGAAAGGCUCAUGACACUCCCGAAAGCAAGAGGAUGUCUAGGUAUGUUCAGAUCUCUUGUUUGCAUGAAUUGGAGAUGAAAGAACUACCCAAAAGCUCUACAUGGGCAAUAUAUGGGCCAUGUUAAGAAGCCCACUAACAUUGUUGAAGCAGUUGCAUCACAAGACCUGUGGAUUUGGUACACUUUCGUUGGCAUACUGGAGUUUCACAAUGACAUUAGUGUGCUGCAACAGUCUUCAUUGUUUCCGAGGUUGACUAAAGGACGGCCUCCUCCAUGCAACUAUGUUGUCAAUGGGCAUGACUACAAUAUGGGCUACUAUCUAUUCAUGGUACCUAUCCUGUGUGUGUGGUCUUCAUGAAGACCAUCAUCGAGCUAGCUGGUCAUAAAAAAGCUCACUUUUUCCAAUGAUAAGAAGGAGUUAGAAAGGAUGUGGAGAGAACAUUUGGAGUGCUCCAAGCCUGUUUUGCAGUUGUUCGUAGACCUGCUAAACAAAUGGGAUCUGGAGACCUUGUGGAACCUGAUGACAUAUUGUGUGAUCAUAUAUAACAUGAUCAUGGAGGAUGAGGAUGAAGGUGAUGCCAGAGAUCUGAAAUUUGACCACAUGGGUGAUCUUAUUCUACUUCCAUAUCAGAAUCCGGCCGCGUUUGAUGAAUUUGUCCAAAUGUGUCAAUAAAUUCGAGGUUGAGCAAUUUAUGAGCAGCUCAAGAAUGAUCUGAUUGAGCGUCUGUGGACGGUUAAGGAGGACAACUAGAACAUAUGUGGGAGUUGAAUUCACAUUUGAACUAUUUUAUUUCAAAACUAGUUGGAUUGUCAUAUUUAAAUUUGAACUAUUGUCGCAUUUGGAUAUUUUCCCUCAUCGAAGGUUUGAGAUGCUAUUAUUUUAAGCAUUGCCGACUUCAAAACAGGGCUGAACGUUUAGGUGACAGGGUUGGUUGGCCAGCCCCCAUAUCCAUGUAUACGAUGACUCUGCACUAGUCCGUGGACAAAUAAUGUGUCGAUUUUCAGGGUCAGCGUUCAAGAUGCCCUUAGAGCGUCUCUAGUAGACCCCAUAUAGUGCCGACCCGCAAAAUGCGUUUACAGUUCCCGGAAAACCGUAUUUGUGGGUCGGUGCGGGUGGGGGCCGAGCAGACCCCGCAAAGUGGAUCCGUAAAGUCCAUUUUUACGGACCCGCUUUGCGGGGUCUGCUCGGCCCCCGCCCGCUCCGGCCCGCAAAUCAAUAAUUUUUAUUUCAAUUUCAGACAUGAAAAUACAUUUCUUUGCUUCUUUAUUUUCUUCCACGACAUUGGAUACAUAGUAAUUCACCAAACCUUUGCUAGAAUAGCAAGACCAAAGAAAACAAAAAACCACAAUUAGGCAUUUUAGAAGAUAUCCAACUUGCAUAACUGCUCCCACUAGUUGGACCAAUAUCUUUUCCAUGCCUUCAUUGUUGAUAUGCGGAUUCUUGGUCUUGCAUUCUUCAUUCUUCUUUUUUGAUUCUAAAGAAGUAGAGGUUGCUUCCCCUCUAGUUUCUUCUCUAAUUGCACAUGCAGCCGCACCAUUAGCCUCAAUUCUACCAACGAGUGGACGGACAUCUAUUAAGUUUCUUUCUAUCAAUAAAUCGAUGUAAUCUUCUUCCCAAAACCAAAAUGAGCAUCCACCCUCCUACACACAUGACCAUCUCAAUAAGCUAUCAAAUUUGAACCGAAUAGGUUGGCAAAGCCGAAUGAAACAAGAACAUACCCCGUCGUUUUCGCAUUUGAAGAAUACCAAUCCGGGGUGUUUCGGCAUGCUAGAUGUUAGCCGCAGCACUGUAUGCAUGCAGUUGUCGCAUAGUAUGAGAGGCAUCGGCGACCCGACGAGCCGCUGGGAGACCGCUGAGCCCAGGCAACGGCCGGCCGAGUCCUUGCUGGCACACCGACGACGGCGGCUAGAGGAGGAACCAGUACCUGCAUGCGGUACUAGGGCUUUGCCGGGGUUGGUCGGGGUGCUCCCCGACCAAUCCAUGGCUUGGCGCAGCCACCGAUGCCCGAAAACGCCAAAUCCGGCCGCCGCAACAAACAACCGUCGAGCUGCAACUUUCCGGCCCACCGAGGCCGGAGGAAGUGGCGGAGGACAAUCUCGGGCUUGUGGCGGUCCUCCGGCAUGAUCCCGCCGGCUAGUAUGGUCGGAAUCGACGGCGGCAACACGACNNNNNNNNNNNNNNNNNNNNNNNNNNNNNNNNNNNNNNNNNNNNNNNNNNNNNNNNNNNNNNNNNNNNNNNNNNNNNNNNNNNNNNNNNNNNNNNNNNNNNNNNNNNNNNNNNNNNNNNNNNNNNNNNNNNNNNNNNNNNNNNNNNNNNNNNNNNNNNNNNNNNNNNNNNNNNNNNNNNNNNNNNNNNNNNNNNNNNNNNNNNNNNNNNNNNNNNNNNNNNNNNNNNNNNNNNNNNNNNNNNGGCAAGGGGGAGAGGGGCGGCGGUGGGUGGGGAAAAGCGCGGGCUGAAAUGUCACCCCCGCCAACCGGUACCGCUAUAUAUAGGUCACCGAUGGGGCAAAGGAGGGAACCCCCGUUUUCGCGGGUUGGGGUGGGAAUUAUGCCGCGCCCUGCAAUUUUUUUUACGGAUCCGACACGUUUACGGGGUCUGAUCGGGCAUCAUUUUUCGUACGGACCUGUAUUUUGGCGGUUAUUUGCGGGUCGGGGCAUUACGCGGGGUCUGCUAGAGAUGCUCUUAUGUUUGUUGUUUUUGACCUCAUUUACGGGAAGCACACAAAAUGGUCAAAAUGAUCACAUGGCAACUUGUUGGAAUAAUUUCACCUUGUUGUAAUCACCUUCUUCUGAAAAACAAAAAUCUAGAACUUUCUUGGAGGCAUAUAAAAACAAAUCAUGCAAAAAAUGCCCUGCGUUCAAUAUAUAAAAUUCUAUGCUAUUAAUAUUAAAAAUAUCAUGCUCCUAUGAGUAAAAAUUUCAUGUUGUUAACAUAAAAAAUGCCAUGCUUUUCUUUGAAUGGAUAAAUGUCAUGGUCCUAAUAGUAAAAAUGUCAUGCUAUUAAGAUUUAAAAUGUCAUGCUCUUAACAGUGAAAAUGUCAUGCUAUUAAUAAUAAAAAUGUCAUGCUCUUAACAGUAAAAAUGUCAUGCUAUUAAUAUUAAAAAUUCCAUGCUCUUUUUAAGGGAAAAGACAUGCUAUUAAUAGUUAAUGUGACAUACUCUUAAACAAUAAAAUUGCGAUUGUAAAAUAAAAUAAAAUUGUGAUGGUUAAAUAAAAUAAAAUAGCCGUACUGUGUACUUUCUUUGGAAAAAAUAUAUAAGAACCACACAAAAAGGAAAUACCAUGAUUCGAGAAUUAAAAUUUCCAUGCCAUUUAAAAUAAAUUUACCAUUGUUAUAGUUAAAAAAUGCCAAGUUCAUAAAAACAAUUCUAGGCUCUUAACGAUAAAAACGCCAUGCUAUAAAUAAUGAAGCUGCCAUGCUCUUAAAAGAUGCCACGGUCUAAAAAAAGAAAUACCGCCGAUUUUUUUUGCCAUAGAGUAAAUAAUACAAAUGCCAAGCUACCUACACUAAAACUACCGUGGUCUAAUUAAUAAUAAUGCAAUGGUCUAACAAAUAGAAGUGCUAUGCUAGCUUAGUCAUGUGAACAUGUAAAAAAAGGAGUUAUGGUUAUAUACUGUUUUGAAAAACAUACGGAAAAUUCACAGUAACCAUGGCAACUAGUUUGACAUGGCAAAAUGUGGAUGGGACAAAAAUUCUAAGAUAUUUGUUAGGAGCAUUGUACAAAGAAUUUCCCAUGAGGCAAAAAUCCUAUGACACACGCUUAGUGAUGGAAAAAACUCACCAAGUUUGAGUUGACAAGAAAGUGAUAAACAAAAAUAAUACUUGAAUGUAGAAAAAAUAUUGAUGUGCAUGGCAAAAAGUAACUUAAAUUUGCUAAUGGGAAAAAUCUACAAGGGGACAAAGCAUUUCAGCGCAUGUCAAAAAGUAACUUAAAUUUGGCAAUGAAAAAAUAUAGAGGAAUGUUAAACAUUGUAUUAUGACGUGUGCGUGUGUAUGGUUGUUGUAAUAUGGUUAGGCUUAGAGAUAUGAUCCCAUAGUUUGUUAGAUUACUUGGAGAUCAAUCCUAGCCUAACUAACCCUUGUAAUCUCUUGGCCUUGAGCCCUAUAUUAACACGCACGCGUCCCUGCAGCUAUGCAUACGCUUAAGCCUAGUUUUCUACAUGGUAUCAGAGCCGCUCCCUUCCAUCGCAUCUAGAUGUCUUCAUCGUCCUCCUCCGCCAUGGCCACACCCUCCCUCGCAUCCCUCGGCCAUACCAUCACGGAAAAGCUGAACCGUGAGAACUUUCUUGUCUGGAGGGCGCAGGUACUACCGCAUGUUCGCGCGGCGGGCAUGAUGGGGUUCCUGGACGGUUCCCAGAAGGAACCCGACGCCAAGAUCCGCACGGAGAAGGACGUCGCCGGCAAGAAGGAGGUCACCGUCGCCGCCAACCCAGAGCACGCCAUCUGGGUUACCCAGGACCAGCAGGUGCUCUCGUUUUUGAUCGCUUCCCUUUCUCGCGAAGUGCUCCUGCAGGUCAGCAACUGCACGACGGCCGCCGCCACCUGGAGCGCUCUUCUCCAGAGCUUCUCCUCGCAGUCCCGUGCUCGCAUCAUCCAGCUCCGCGAUCAGAUCGGGGACACCAAGAAGGGUGACAUGACGGCGGUUGCCUACUUCACCAAGAUGAAGGGGCUCGCUGACGAACUUGCAGCCGCUGGGAGGCCUCUGGAUGAAGAUGAUGUUGUUUCUCACAUCAUCCAGGGGCUCAUGCACGAGCCGGAGUACAGCGGGUUCGUCUCCGCCGUCUCCACGCGCACCAUCACCGACCAGCCCAUCAGCCUAGGCGAGUUAUUCUCGCUACUGCUUGCUGCUGAGUCACGCAUCACCGCACAGACCUCCGCCUACUCCACCAACCUUGCUGCAAAAGGUAGAGGCCAUGGCAACACCAACCAGGGAGGCCCUCGUGGUGGCGGCAAUAGCGGCUCCCGUGGCUACAACAACAACAACACGGGCGCCCGCUUCUUCGACAAGUACUCUGGUGGUGGCGGCUCUGGCGGAGCGCCUCGCCAGGGUGGUGGUCGCGGUGAUCGUGGUGACCGCGAGAAGUGUCAAAUCUGCAAGAACGAGGGGCAUGGUGCAUGGCGCUGCAAGAAGCGCUACGACUGCAACUUGAACAACAAUGUGCGUAACCCUGCUGGUGGUGGAGGUGGUGGUGGCGGCGGUGGGAACCGUUCUGCCAACGCUGUCCACUCCUAUGGAGUUGAUACCAAUUGGUAUCUCGACUCCGGCGCAACCAAUCACGUGACCGGUGAGCUGGAGAAGCUUGCUGUUCAUGACCGUUACACCGGCCCGGAGCAAAUCCACACCGCAAGUGGUCAAGGUAUGGACAUUGCACAUGUCGGUCAUUUAGUUCUAUCUACUCCUCAUGGAUCCUUAGAUCUCAAGAAUAUACUUCACUCUCCGCAUGCCAACAAAAGUUUACUUUCUGCCUAUCAACUCAUCAAAGAUAAUCAUGCUUUUCUUGAGAUUUACCCUGAAACCUUUUUUGUUAAGGAUCGGGCCACUCGGAGGACCAUUCUUCAAAACGAGAGUAGGGGUGGCUUAUUUCCUAUUUCUGGCCGGCAAGAUGCUCCUUCUUCACAAGUCCUAAGUGUGAUCAAACCAUCUACUUUACGGUGGCACAAGCGCUUAGGACAUCCUGCAUUACCGGUGGUUCAGAAAAUUCUUCGAGAUUUUAGUCUUCCCGUGUCAAUUAAAAAAGAUCAUUUGCUGGUUUGUGAUGCUUGCCAGAUGGCCAAGAGCCAUCAACUUCCCUAUCCUAAGUCUUUUAGUGUGUCAAAAGCUCCUUUAGAGCUUAUUUUUUCGGAUGUAUGGGGUCCUGGACCCGUCUCUGUAGGCAGACAAAAAUAUUAUGCGAGCUUUAUUGAUGAUUUUAGCAAGUUUAGUUGGAUUUAUUUGCUCAAAAAUAAGUAUGACGUGUUUGAGAAAUUUCAUCUCUUUCAACAGCAUGUUGAACGUCUCUUUGAUCGCAAAAUUCUUGCUAUGCAAACGGAUUGGGGGGGUGAGUAUCAAAAACUCAAUUCCUUUUUUGAACGCAUUGGCAUCACUCAUUACGUCUCAUGUCCACAUGCUCACCAGCAGAAUAGAUCUGCAGAACGGAAGCACCGGCAUAUCGUGGAAGUUGGUCUGUCCCUCCUUGCUCAUGCCUUUAUGCCCUUAAAAUUUUGGGAUGAGGCGUUCCUUACAGCUGUGUAUCUUAUCAACCGUGUUCCUAGCAGGGUUAUCAAAAACCAAACUCCACUUGAACGUCUCUUUGGCAAGAAACCUGACUAUACCUUUCUCCGCAUCUUUGGGUGUGCCGUUUGGCCUAAUCUGCGUCCUUUCAAUAAGCACAAACUUGAAUUUAGGUCAAAACAAUGUGUCUUCUUGGGGUAUAGUAGCCUACACAAGGGAUACAAGUUCCUCAAUGUAGCCUCUGGUCGUGUCUAUAUUUCUAGGGACGUCGUCUUUGAUGAACAUGUGUUUCCUUUCGCCACGAUAUGAUCGAGGUGGAUUAUGGUGGAGGGGCACCGCACACGGCUGGGAGAGAUCAACAGAUCAACUUGUGUUUCUAGAGGUACCCCCUGCCCCCGUAUAUAAAGGAGGGAGGGAGAGGCCGGCCCUAGAGGAGGCGCGCCAAGUGUGGGGAGUCCUACUAGGACUCCCAAGUCCUAGUAGGAUUCCCCUUUCCUUUUCAGAGUAGGAGAGAAGGAAAGAGGGGGAGAGGGAGAAGGAAAAGGGGGCUGCACCCCUUGUCCAAUUCGGACCAGAGGGGGGGCGCGCGCCUCCUUCCUUUUGGCCUCUCUCCUCUAUUCCCGUAUGGCCCAAUAAGGCCCAAUACUUCUCCCGGUGAAUUCCCAUAACUCCCUAGUACUAAGAAAAUACCCGAAUCACUCGAAACCUUUCCGAUGUCCGAAUAUAGUCGUCCGAUAUAUCAAUCUUUACGUCUCGACUAUUUAGAGACUCCUCGUCAUGUCCCCGAUCUCAUCCGGGACUCCGAACUACCUUCGCUAUAUGAAAUCACAUAAACUCAUAAUACAAUCGUCACUGAAACUUUAAGCGUGCGGACCCUACGGGUUCGAGAACUAUGUAGACAUGAUCGGGACACGUCUCCAGCCAAUAACCAAUAGCGGAACCUGGAUGCUCAUAUUGGCUCCCACAUAUUCUAUGAAGAUCUUUAUCGGUCAAAUCGCAUAACAACAUACGUUGUUCCCUUUGUCAUCGGUAUGUUACUUUCCCGAGAUUCGAUCGUAGGUAUCUCAAUACCUAGUUCAAUCUUGUUACCGGCAGGUCUCUUUACUCAUUCCGUAAUACAUCAUCUCGCAACUAACUCAUUAGUCACAUUGCUUGGAAGGCUUAUAGUGAUGUGCAUUACCGAGAGGGCCCAGAGAUACCUCUCCGACAAUUGGAGUGACAAAUCCUAAUCUCGAAAUACGCUAACCCAACAAGUACCUUUGGAGACACCUAUAGAGCACCUUUAUAAUCACCCAGUUACGUUGUGAUGUUUGGUAGCACACAAAGUGUUCCUGCGGUAAACGGGUGUUGCAUAAUAUCAUAGUUAUAGGAACAUGUAUAAGUCAUGAAGAAAGCAAUAGCAGAAGAAAGCAAUAGCAGAAUACUAAACGAUCAAGUGUUAUGCUAACGGAAUGGGUCAAGUCAAUCACAUCAUUCUCCUAAUGAUGUGAUCCCGUUAAUCAAAUGACAACUCAUGUCUAUGGUUAGGAAACUUAACCAUCUAUGGUCAGCACACGUUCAGCUUCGAGGGAGAGUUCCAUCAGCACGACGGUGUGAUGACGGUGAUGAUGAUGCUACCGACGCAGGGCUUCGCCUAAGCACCGCUACGAUAUGAUUGAGGUGGAUUAUGGUGGAGGGGGCACCGCACACGGCUGGGAGAGAUCAACAGAUCAACUUGUGUGUCUAGAGGUGCCGCCCUGCCCCCAUAUAUAAAGGAGGGAGGGAGAGGCCGGCCCUAGAGGAGGCACGCCAAGUGUGGGGAGUCCUACUAGGACUCCCAAGUCCUAGUAGGAUUCCCCUUUCCUUUCCGGAGUAGGAGAGAAGGAAAGAGGGGGAGAGGGAGAAGGAAAAGGGGGCUGCACCCCUUGUCCAAUUCGGACCAGAGGGGGGGCGCGCGCCUCCUUCCUUUUGGCCUCUCUCCUCUAUUCCCGUAUGGCCCAAUAAGGCCCAAUACUUCUCCCGGUGAAUUCCCAUAACUCCCCGGUACUAAGAAAAUACCCGAAUCACUCGGAACCUUUCCGAUGUCCGAAUAUAGUCGUCCGAUAUAUCAAUCUUUACGUCUCGACUAUUUAGAGACUCCUCGUCAUGUCCCCGAUCUCAUCCGGGACUCCGAACUACCUUCGGUACAUAAAAUCUCGUAAACUCAUAAUACAAUCAUCACCGAAACUUUAAGCGUGCGGACCCUACGGGUUCGAGAACUACGUAGACAUGACCGAGACACGUCUCCAGCCAAUAACCAAUAGCGGAACCUGGAUGCUCAUAUUGGCUCCCACAUAUUCUAUGAAGAUCUUUAUCGGUCAAACCGCAUAACAACAUACGUUGUUCCCUUUGUCAUCGGUAUGUUACUUUCCCGAGAUUCGAUCGUCGGUAUCUCAAUACCUAGUUCAAUCUCGUUACCAGCAGGUCUCUUUACUCGUUCCGUAAUACAUCAUCUCGCAACUAACUCAUUAGUCACAUUGCUUGCAAGGCUUAUAGUGAUGUGCAUUACCGAGAGGGCCCAGAGAUACCUCUCCGACAAUCGGAGUGACAAAUCCUAAUCUCGAAAUACGCUAACCCAACAAGUACCUUUGGAGACACCUGUAGAGCACCUUUAUAAUCAUCCAGUUACGUUGUGAUGUUUGGUAGCACACAAAGUGUUCCUCCGGUAAACGGGAGUUGCAUAAUAUCAUAGUUAUAGGAACAUGUAUAAGUCAUGAAGAAAGCAAUAGCAGAAUACUAAACGAUCAAGUGUUAUGCUAACAGAAUGGGUCAAGUCAAUCACAUCAUUCUCCUAAUGAUGUGAUCCCGUUAAUCAAAUGACAACUCAUGUCUAUGGUUAGGAAACUUAACCAUCUUUGAUUAACGAGCUAGUCAAGUAGAGGCAUACUAGUGACACUAUGUUUGUCUAUGUAUUCACACAUGUAUUAUGUUUCUGGUUAAUACAAAUGUAGCAUGAAUAAUAAACAUUUAUCAUGAAAUAAGGAAAUAAAUAAUAACUUUAUUAUUGCCUCUAGGGCAUAUUUCCUUCAGUCUCCUACUUGCACUAGAGUCAAUAAUCUAGUUCACAUCGCCAUGUGAUUUAACAUCAAUAGUUCACAUCUUUAUGUGGUUAACACCCAUAGUUCACAUCGAUAUGUGACCAAUACCCAAAGGGUUUACUAGAGUCGGUAAUCUAGUUCACAUCACUAUGUGAUUAACACCCAAAGAGUACUAAGGUGUGAUCAUGUUUUGCUUGUGAGAUAAUUUUAGUCAACGGGUCUGUCACAUUCAGAUCCGUAAGUAUUUUGCAAAUAUUUAUGUCUGCAAUGCUCUGCACGGAGCUACUCUAGCUAAUUGCUCCCACUUUCAAUAUGUAUCUAGAGCGAGACUUAGAGUCAUCCAGAUCGGUGUCAAAGCUUGCAUCGACUUAAAUCUUUAAGACGAACGUUUUGUCACCUCCAUAAUCGAGAAACAUAUCCUUAUUCCGCUAAGGAUAAGUUUGACCGCUGUCCAGUGAUCUACUCCUAGAUCACUAUUGUACUCCCUUGCCAAACUCAAUGUAGGGUAUACAAUAGGUCUCGUACACAACAUGGCAUACUAUAUAAUAGAGGUGAAUUUUGUUGGUCCUAAGACAUAACACAAAAUAGUUUUGUCCUAAGCAAAACUUAACAAAGAAAAUACUAAACUAAUAAUUUUAACAGAAAAAAAAAUAAAAUUUAAAACAACUAAGUUAACAUAAAGUAUUUUUCAUAAAGUUUUACUAGCAAAAGGAAACACAUAAAAAGAUAAAUUAAAACUCGAAUUAUGCUUAAAACAAAACUAGUAAGAAAAGAAAAAAAACAUUUUAUUUUUCUGUAAAUAAAAGUUCACCCUCUAAUACUACAGAAACAAAUCUGAACAAAAAUAUAAUAGAGGUGAAUUUUUUUUAAACAUAAUUAAAACAGCAAAAACAUCAGCAAGCUAACCAAACUAGAAAAGCUUGUUUUCGAGUAAAACCUUUUUAAAUAAAAACUAUAAGUACCCAAGUUAAUCCUACUGCUAGUCAAGGUCAAAACAAAGCAGUGACAAAAAGAAUCACCAAAAUAAAAUAAUCCUAACUCACUUUAUAGCAGAAAUACUAAUAUGACUAAAACUAAUAUAAAACAAUUUUUAAAAACUAAAACAUGACCGAAUCUAUUUUUCUACAGAAACUACAAGAAAUUUUAAACUAACAAAAAAAGAAUCAACUAAAAAUAUUGAACAACCUAAAAGAUAUAGACUUUACAAGAACAUAACUAUUCUAUUUUAAAAACAGAAACUUAAAAAAACAAAAAAAGGCGCUACUGGGCCUAUCUAACGCUCAGGCGAACACUAACUAAACCGCGCUCGCGGCUAAACAGAAUAACCGACCGGUUCGAUCAAUAAAAACAAACCAUAACUAAGCCGAAAAAAGACAGAACUAAAACCGAUCUAAACAAAUAAACCUAUCCCUUCGUGUAAUCUAAUCUAGGCCGUUCAUGCGCGAUCCAACGGUGGUGGGGGUUCCGGCGGCUUACAGCGACUCGACGGCGACGACGGACGACGGCGGCUCGGGCGGCGACGGCGCAGCGGCUCCGGUGGUCCGGGGCGACGGCGGUGACGUCGGGGAGAUUCGGCGGAGCGAGGCGAGGUCGAGGGUGGCAGUUGCUGCGGUCGGGGACGACGGAGACGAGUGGAACGAGCUCGGCGGGGCUCCUGGUGCUCUGCAACUCCGGCGACGGGCGGUGAUGCUCAAGGCGGCGACUCCGGCGAUCCCUGGGCGGAGAGAGGAUGUCAAAGAGGUGCGGGAGGAGGCGGAGGUUCGGGUGAUGAUGCUGGGAAGGCAGAGAGUGCUCACCGUCGUCGGGAGUGGCGGCGAACCGAGGCGACGGCGGCGAGAUGCGUUCGGCGAGGGCGUGGGCGGCGGUGGGUUGCGGGGUUAGGGUUUUAGGGGGAUCGAGAGAGGAGGCCGAGGGGUUUAUAUAGGGCAAGGUCUUGGAGGAGGGGGCGGCGCGGGAUCGCGAUCCCGAGAAGAUCGCGGUGUCGGGCGGCGGUGGUCGCGCUCUGGUGCGGGCAUGGCGUGGGCGAAGGGUAAGAGAUGAGGGUAGGCCCCGCGGUCAGUGAGAGAAGGAGAGGAGGGUUCGGUCGGGCGACCGAAGCGGAGACGGGUCGGGCGUGCCCGCGGCUGUGCUGCGGCUCGGCUCGCUGCUGGGCCACGUCAGGUGGCUGGCUGGGCCGCAUCGGUUGGCUAGCUGGGCCGGUUGGCCUGGCCAGCUCGGGGGUUUAUUUUCCUUUUUUUUGAAAAUCAAAGAGAGAGAAAACUAAAUAUAGAGAAAACUAUAGUAUUUUUAUAUACGACAUAUAUAUAUCUCGAAACUCAGAAAAAAUAAAUCCUACACCGUGUACAUUUUUCCAGAGGCAAAAUGCAAACUUAAGGAAAAACAUUUUUUUAUAAAUUCCAAAUAAACUCCAAUUUGAAUUCAAAAACUUUUGGCAUUAAUUUCUCUUAACUUUUUGGAGUGUCAUGUUAGCUCCUCUCAUACUUUUAAACAAGUAUUUGUCAGGGGUAUAUGAAAUAAAUUUCGAAUGGCAAGUUGAAUCCAAAUUCAAAUAAAAUUCAAAUGCCUCUGAAAUUUCCAAAUGCCACUAAAUUUCACACAAUCAGUCACACAACAUUCAAUCAAACAAUAAUAAAUAUUUAUUUAACAUAGCAUUCCGAAAUUUAGAAUUUUGGGAUGUUACAAACCUACCACACUUAAAAUGAAUCUCGUCCUCGAGAUUCGAAGAGGCUAGCAAGAAAAGGUUAGGGUUUGGGGGUCUUCUAGCUAAUCCAUCAACCGGAGAGGUUUGGGGUGCUACCACACUUAGAAGCAUGCUUACGGUCCCAACAAAACUCGUGUACUCCAUUCCUUUGCGCUGUCGGAUGCGGAAAAAUAUGUUUGGUCGCUUCUACAAUGGCGCUCGGGCCUACGAUGACUACUUCAUCUUGAAGAAGGAUGCCAUACGAAGAAUUGGAUUCUGUGCACAGUUGCAUGCAAGAUGCUUGCAUAUUGCACGGCCGCAGAUUCGUGGGACGAUUACCUGAGAUGUCUAAGAGCACAUGUGGAGAUGCCGUGAUUAAAUUUGCUACUACAUUGGCCGAGGUGUUUGGACCAUAGUACUUCAGAGAAUCAACUGUCGCAGAGACACUGAAAGGCUCAUGACACUCCCGAAAGCAAGAGGAUGUCUAGGUAUGUUCAGAUCUCUUGUUUGCAUGAAUUGGAGCUGAAAGAACUACCCAAAAGCUCUACAUGGGCAAUAUAUGGGCCAUGUUAAGAAGCCCACUAACAUUGUUGAAGCAGUUGCAUCACAAGACCUGUGGAUUUGGUACACUUUCGUUGGCAUACUCGAGUUUCACAAUGACAUUAGUGAGCUGCAACAGUCUUCAUUGUUUCCGAGUUGACUAAAGGACGGCCUCCUCCAUGCAACUAUGCUGUCAAUGGGCAUGACUACAAUAUGGGCUACUAUCUAUUCAUGGUACCUAUCCUGUAUGUGUGGUCUUCAUGAAGACCAUCAUCGAGCUAGCUGGUCAUAAAAAAGCUCACUUUUUCCAAUGAUAAGAAGGAGUUAGAAAGGAUGUGGAGAGAACAUUUGGAGUGCUCCAAGCCUGUUUUGCAGUUGUUCGUAGACCUGCUAAACAAAUGGGAUCUGGAGACCUUGUGGAACCUGAUGACAUAUUGUGUGAUCAUGUAUAACAUGAUCAUGGAGGAUGAGGAUGAAGGUGAUGACAGAGGUCUGAAAUUUGACCACAUGGGUGAUCUUAUUCUACUUCCAAAUCAGAAUCCGGCCGCGUUUGAUGAGUUUGUCCAAAUGUGUCAAUAAAUUCGAGGUUGAGCAAUUUAUGAGCAGCUCAAGAAUGAUCUGAUUGAGCAUCUGUGGACGGUUAAAGAGGACAACUAGAACAUAUGUGUGAGUUGAAUUCACAUUUGAACUAUUUUAUUUCAAAACUAGUUGGAUUGUCAUAUUUAAAUUUGAACUAUUGUCGCAUUUGGAUAUUUUCCCUCAUCGAAGGUUUGAGAUGCUAUUAUUUUAAGCAUUGCCGACUUCAAAACAGGGCUGAACGUUUAGGUGACAGGGUUGGUUGGCCAGCCCCCAUAUCCGUGUCUACGAUGACUCUGCACUAGUCCGUGGACAAAUAAUGUGUCGAUUUUCAGGGUCAGCGUUCAAGAUGCCCUUAGAGCAUCUCUAGCAGACCCCAUAUAGUGCCGACCCGCAAAAUGCGUUUACAGUUCGCGGAAAACCGUAUUUGUGGGUCGGCGCGGGUGGGGGCCGAGCAGACGCCGCAAAGUGGAUCCGUAAAGUCCAUUUUUACGGACCCGGUUUGCGGGGUCUGCUCGGCCCCCGCCCGCUCCGGCCCGCAAAUCAGUAAUUUUUAUUUCAAUUUCAGACAUGAAAAUACAUUUCUUUGCUUCUUUAUUUUCUUCCACGACAUUGGAUACAUAGUAAUUCACCAAACCUUUGCUAGAAUAGCAAGACCAAAGAAAACAAAAAACCACAAUUAGGCAUUUUAGAAGAUAUUCAACUUCCAUAACUACGCCCACUAGUUGGACCAAUAUCUUCUCCAUGCCUUCAUUGUUGAUAUGCGGAUUCUUGGUCUUGCAUUCUUCAUUCUUCUUUUUUGAUUCUAAAGAAGUAGAGGUUGCUUCCCCUCUAGUUUCUUCUCUAAUUGCACAUGCAGCCGCACCAUUAGCCUCAAUUCUACCAACGAGUGGACGGACAUCUAUUAAGUUUCUUUCUAUCAAUAAAUCGAUGUAAUCUUCUUCCCAAAAUCAAAAUGAGCAUCCACCCUCCUACACACAUGACCAUCUCAAUAAGCUAUCAAAUUUGAACCGAAUAGGUUGGCAAAGCCGAAUGAAACAAGAACAUACCCCGUCGUUUUCGCAUUUGAAAAAUACCAAUCCGGGGUGUUUCGGCAUGCUAGAUGUUAGCCGCAGCACUGUAUGCGUGCAGUUGUCGCAUAGUAUGAGAAGCAUCGGCGACCCGACGAGCCGCUGGGAGACCGCUGAGCCCAGGCAACGGCCGGCCGAGUCCUUGCUGGCACACCGACGACGGCGGCUAGAGGAGGAACCAGUACCUGCAUGCGGUACUAGGGAUUUGCCGGGGUUGGUCGGGGUGCUCCCCGACCAAUCCAUGGCUUGGCGCAGCCACCGAUGCCCGAAAACGCCAAAUCCGGCCGCCGCAACAAACAACCGUCGAGCUGCAACUUUCCGGCCCGCCGAGGCCGGAGGAAGUGGCGGAGGACAAUCUCGGGCUUGUGACGGUCCUCCGGCAUGAUCCCGCCGGCUAGUAUGGCCGGAAUCGACGGCGGCGACACGACGACGGGGGGUGGGAAAAGCGCGUGGCGAGGGGGAGAGGGGCGGCGGUGGGUGGGGAAAAGCGCGGGCUGAAAUGUCACCCCCGCCAACAGGUACCGCUAUAUACAGGUCACCAAUGGGGCAAAGGAGGGAACCCCCAUUUUCGCGGGUUGGGGUGGGAAUUAUGCCGCGCCCCGCAAAUUUUUUUACGGAUCCGACACGUUUACGGGGUCUGAUCGGGCAUCAUUUUCCGUACGGACCCGUAUUUUGGCGGUUAUUUGCGGGUCGAGGCAUUAUGCGGGGUCUGCUAGAGAUGCUCUUAUGUUUGUUGUUUUUGACCUCAUUUACGGGAAGCACACAAAAUGGUCAAAAUGAUCACAUGGCAACUUGUUGGAAUAAUUUCACCUCGUUGUAAUCACCUUCUUCUGAAAAACAAAAAUCUAGAACUUUCUUGGAGGCAUAUAAAAACAAAUCAUGCAAAAAAUGCCCUGCGUUCAAUAUAUAAAAUUCUAUGCUAUUAAUAUUAAAAAUAUCAUGCUCCUAUGAGUAAAAAUGUCAUGUUGUUAACAUAAAAAAUGCCAUGCUUUUCUUUGAAUGGAUAAAUGUCAUGGUCCUAAUAGUAAAAAUGUCAUGCUAUUAAGAUUUAAAAUGUCAUGCUCUUAACAGUGAAAAUGUCAUGCUAUUAAUAAUAAAAAUGUCAUGCUCUUAACAGUAAAAAUGUCAUGCUAUUAAUAUUAAAAAUUCCAUGCUCUUUUUAAGGGAAAAGACAUGCUAUUAAUAGUUAAUGUGACAUACUCUUAAACAAUAAAAUUGCGAUUGUAAAAUAAAAUAAAAUUGUGAUGGUUAAAUAAAAUAAAAUAGUCGUACUGUGUACUUUCUUUGGAAAAAAUAUAUAAGAACCACACAAAAAGGAAAUACCAUGAUUCGAGAAUUAAAAUUUCCAUGCCAUUUAAAAUAAAUUUACCAUAUGUUAUAGUUAAAAAAUGCCAAGUUCAUAAAAACAAUUCUAGGCUCUUAACGAUAAAAACGCCAUGCUAUAAAUAAUGAAGCUGCCAUGCUCUUAAAAGAUGCCACGGUCUAAAAAAAGAAAUACCGCCGAUUUUUUUUGCCAUAGAGUAAAUAAUACAAAUGCCAAGCUACCUACACUAAAACUACCGUGGUCUAAUUAAUAAUAAUGCAAUGGUCUAACAAAUAGAAGUGCUAUGCUAGCUUAGUCAUGUGAACAUGUAAAAAAAGGAGUUUUGGUUAUAUACUGUUUUGAAAAACAGACGGAAAAUUCACAGUAACCAUGGCAACUAGUUUGACAUGGCAAAAUGUGGAUGGGACAAAAAUUCUACGAUAUUUGUUAGGAGCAUUGUACAAAGAAUUUCCCAUGAGGCAAAAAUCCUAUGACACACGCUUAGUGAUGGAAAAAACUCACCAAGUUUGAGUUGACAAGAAAGUGAUAAACAAAAAUAAUACUUGAAUGUAGAAAAAAUAUUGAUGUGCAUGGCAAAAAGUAACUUAAAUUUGCUAAUGGGAAAAAUCUACAAGGGGACAAAGCAUUUCAGCGCAUGUCAAAAAGUAACUUAAAUUUGGCAAUGAAAAAAUAUAGAGGAAUGUUAAACAUUGUAUUAUGACGUGUGCGUGUGUAUGGUUGUUGUAAUAUGGUUAGGCUUAGAGAUAUGAUCCCAUAGUUUGUUAGAUUACUUGGAGAUCAAUCCUAGCCUAACUAACCCUUGUAAUCUCUUGGCCUUGAGCCCUAUAUUAACACGCACGCGUCCCUGCAGCUAUGCAUACGCUUAAGCCUAGUUUUCUACAUGGUAUCAGAGCCGCUCCCUUCCAUCACAUCUAGAUGUCUUCAUCGUCCUCCUCCGCCAUGGCCACACCCUCCCUCGCAUCCCUCGGCCAUACCAUCACGGAAAAGCUGAACCGUGAGAACUUUCUUGCCUGGAGGGCGCAGGUACUACCGCAUGUUCACGCGGCGGGCAUGAUGGGGUUCCUGGACGGUUCCCAGAAGGAACCCGACGCCAAGAUCCGCACGGAGAAGGACGUCGCCGGCAAGAAGGAGGUCACCGUCGCCGCCAACCCAGAGCACGCCAUCUGGGUUACCCAGGACCAGCAGGUGCUCUCGUUUUUGAUCGCUUCCCUUUCUCGCGAAGUGCUCCUGCAGGUCAGCAACUGCACGACGGCCGCCGCCACCUGGAGCGCUCUUCUCCAGAGCUUCUCCUCGCAGUCCCGUGCUCGCAUCAUCCAGCUCCGCGAUCAGAUCGGCCACACCAAGAAGGGUGACAUGACGGCGGCUGCCUACUUCACCAAGAUGAAGGGGCUCGCUGACGAACUUGCAGCCGCUGGGAGGCCUCUGGAUGAAGAUGAUGUUGUUUCUCACAUCAUCCAGGGGCUCAUGCACGAGCCGGAGUACAGCGGGUUCGUCUCCGCCGUCUCCACGUGCACCAUCACCGACCAGCCCAUCGGCCUAGGCGAGUUAUUCUCGCUACUGCUUGCUGCUGAGUCACGCAUCGCCGCACAGACCUCCGCCUACUCCACCAACCUUGCUGCAAAAGGUAGAGGCCGUGGCAACUCCAACCAGGGAGGCCCUCGUGGUGGCGGCAAUAGCGGCUCCCGUGGCUACAACAACAACAACAACACGGGCGCCCGCUUCUUCGACAAGUACUCUGGUGGUGGCGGCUCUGGCGGAGCGCCUCACCAGGGUGGUGAUCGCGUUGACUGUGGUGACCGCGAGAAGUGUCAAAUCUGCAAGAACGAGGGGCAUGGUGCAUGGCGCUGCAAGAAGCGCUACGACCGCAACUUCAACAACAAUGUGCGUAACCCUGCUGGUGGUGGAGGUGGUGGUGGCGGCGGUGGGAACCGUUCUGCCAAUGCCGUCCACUCCUAUGGAGUUGAUACCAAUUAGUAUCUCGACUCCGGCGCAACCAAUCACGUGACCGGUGAGCUGGAGAAGCUUGCUGUUCAUGACUGUUACACCGGCCCGGAGCAAAUCCACACCGUAAGUGGUCAAGGUAUGGACAUUGCACAUGUCGGUCAUUCAGUUCUAUCUACUCCUCAUGGCUCCUUAGAUCUCAAGAAUAUACUUCACUCUUCGCAUGACAACAAAAUUUUACUUUCUGCCUAUCAACUCAUCAAAGAUAAUCAUGCUUUUCUUGAGAUUUACCCUGAAACCUUUUUUGUUAAGGAUCGGGCCACUCGGAGGACCAUUCUUCAAAACAAGAGUAGGGGUGGCUUAUUUCCUAUUUCUGGCCGGCAAGAUGCUCCUUCUUCACAAGUCCUAAGUGUGAUCAAACCAUCUACUUCACGGUGGCACAAGCGCUUAGGACAUCCUGCAUUACCGGUGGUUCAGAAAAUUCUUCGAGAUUUUAGUCUUCCUGUGUCAAUUAAACAAGAUCAUUUGCUGGUUUGUGAUGCUUGCCAGAUGGCCAAGAGCCAUCAACUUCCCUAUCCUAAGUCUUUUAGUGUGUCAAAAGCUCCUUCAGAGCUUAUUUUUUCGGAUGUAUGGGGUCCUGGACCCGUCUCUGUAGGCAGACAAAAAUAUUAUGUGAGCUUUAUUGAUGAUUUUAGCAAGUUUAGUUGGAUUUAUUUGCUCAAAAAUAAGUAUGACGUGUUUGAGAAAUUUCAUCUCUUUCAACAGCAUGUUGAACGCCUCUUUGAUCGCAAAAUUCUUGCUAUGCAAACGGAUUGGGGGGGGGGGGUGAGUAUCAAAAACUCAAUCCCUUUUUUGAACGCAUUGGCAUCACUCAUUACGUCUCAUGUCCACAUGCUCACCAGCAGAAUGGAUCUGCAGAACGGAAGCACCGGCAUAUCGUGGAAGUUGGUCUGUCCCUCCUUGCUCAUGCCUUUAUGCCCUUAAAAUUUUGGGAUGAGGCGUUCCUUACAGUUGUGUAUCUUAUCAACCGUGUUCCUAGCAGGGUUAUCAAAAACCAAACUCCACUUGAACGUCUCUUUGGCAAGAAACCUGACUAUACCUUUCUCCGCAUCUUUGGGUGUGCCGUUUGGCCUAAUCUGCGUCCUUUCAAUAAGCACAAACUUGAAUUUAGGUCAAAACAAUGUGUCUUCUUGGGGUAUAGUAGCCUACACAAGGGAUACAAGUUCCUCGAUGUAGCCUCUGGUCGUGUCUAUAUUUCUAGGGACGUCGUCUUUGAUGAACAUGUGUUUCCUUUCGCCACCCUCCAUCCCAAUGCUGGUGCUCAACUACGCAAAGAGCUCACUCUGUUGCCAGUUCAUCUUCUUCCAUCUCCUCGUUUUGAUCAAGGGGGAGUAGUAGAUGUUGCUGACCACAUGUCUAUGUCUAAUAAUACCUUUGAUCAAAACCUUGAUGCAAGUAUGCAGGAAAACGGAGAAGAUUUUGGACAAAAUUCGCAUGAUUUUAUGCAUGCAGAAACGACAGAAGAGGCUGCAGAAGAUCCAGACGUCAAUCCCGGGGCGAAUCAUUCGGGAUCCGUGGCGCCAGAUGCGUCAGUCGGCGCAGAUGCAGGAGAAUCCCCGGCGGGAUCCGCGCCAUCUCCUGAUUCGGCAGCAGACCCGUCUCGAUCAUGCAGCGGGCCCGCGGUCCGUCGCAUCGCCCGACAGCCAGCCUCGGCGGGGCCUGGUGGCCCACUCCCACACGCGGGCGGUCGACCCUCGGAUGUGGACGAGUGGAGGCCACGUCACGCGGGCGGGAACGCGCCCAACAGGACGCUGCCGGCCAGCCCAGGCGCGCCAAGUGGCAGUUCUGGAGAGGCGAUCCCAUCUCCCGAUCUGGAUCCUCUACAGGAGCUCUCUCAAGGAUCUUCUGCGGAUGAUUCUGGUGCAGCCGUGUCGUGUUCUUCAAAUCGUCUUCUACAACAACUUGAUCGACCAGCUCCGCCACCUCCUGUGCGCUCCAACACCAGGUCUCAAAGUGGUAUUGUUAAACCUAAAAUAUAUAAAGAUGGCUUUGUACGUUGGGGCUCGUUUUGUGCAACAGGUGAACCACAAAAUUUUGGAGAAGCAUUGGGUGAACCUCAUUGGAGGGAGGCAAUGGAUGAAGAGUAUGCUGCUUUAAUGAAGAAGAAAACUUGGCGUCUAGUUCCACCAGUCAGAGGCAGAAAUGUAAUUGACUGCAAGUGGGUCUAUAUGGUAAAGAGGAAAUCUGAUGGCACCAUUGACAGAUACAAGGCAUGUCUGGUUGCUAAAGGAGUUAAGCAGAGGUAUGGGAUUGACUAUGAGGAUACAUUUAGUCCAGUGGUAAAAGCUGCUACUAUUAGAUUGAUUCUUUCAGUUGUAGUAUCUAGAGGUUGGUGCAUAAGACAACUAGAUGUAAAGAACGCGUUCUUGCAUGGUGUUCUGGAAGAGGAAGUAUUCAUGAGACAACCUUCUGGGUAUUAGAAUCCAAAUGCACCACGUCAUAUUUGCAAACUUGAUAAGGCACUAUAUGGACUAAAACAAGCACCUAGAGCUUGGUACUCUCGGCUCUCCUCUAAGUUACAAUCACUUGGAUUUACUCCCUCAAAGGGAGAUACCUCAUUGUUUUUCUAUCACCGACGUGGGA